rnacentral:lncRNA from 1 species
AACCCACCACCAUCUUUAUCUUUUAUGAAUUAAUAUUAAAAUUAAUUAUUGUUUAACUAAUAAUUCAAUAACCUAAAACUAACUUUGUGUACCCUAUGGAAUUUCCUAACUCAUAUGAACCAAAUCAUGAUAAACACUUUUUUUAUAUUUUUGAGUAAAUAGAAGAAGGAUAUAGCAUGCCAUUAAUAAGAGGAUUGAAACUGUCAAAUAGAAUUUCAAUGGAAAGUGAUAGUGAGAAUGUUAUUUUUUGAAACGAUAUCAUAUUUAAUAUUAAAAUCACCUCUUCAACUUUUAAGAUUAAUAUUAAUAUUAAUUUUUAUUUACUUAAUUAUAAUAUAAAUUAAAACUAAUUAUGUGUGUCUCAGUGUAUGUGUCGCUCUUGGUUUUGGUUCUAGGUCUUCCGCUUUGCUUCCUUGGGUUCUUUCUUUCAUAUAAGGUGUUUUUUUUUUGUUUUCUUUUUUAGGGUGAUUAAGCGAUUGUGUAGUCUUGUGGAUGGUUACAGUUUUUUUGUUUUUGUUAUCCCCUCUGUCUUUUAGAGCCUAGUCUCUUCACACUUUUUUAAAUAUGAAUAUAUUUGGACUUCCAAAAAACAAAAUUACGUGUGUCUCAGUAAAGCUAUAACUGAUAUUUAUUUGGUGUGUAACUAAUAUUAACUAUGAUCUUACAAACAAAGUUUGGUGAAAGUGAAAGGUUAUUCCUAUGUUUAUUUUGGCAUUCAUAUCAAAUUUAAUGUUAAAACUCCUACCUUUAAUUAUUAAAGAUUAAUAUUAAUACUAAAUAAAAUAUUCAACAAAUAAAUUUGUAUUUACCAUGUCUCAUGGAAUUCUAUAACUAAUGUUAACUUAUUUUAUUUAGUAGGUGAAUAGGCCUUGAAUUUUUAAAUAUUAAUUUUAGUUUUAUUUAUGAGUUAAAUUUUUAUUUUUAAACUAUUUUAUUCUUGAAUUUAAUAUUUUUAAAUUUAUAAAAAAAUGAAGUACGAUAUAAAGAAAAUUAAACAACAUCUAUAUAAUAGUAAGAAUAUGUGAAUGGAAUCAUAGAAGUACAAAAGUCGGUAGAGUAAAUUCUCUAUUUUUGUGUUAUCAUUAGACACAUUAAAGUGAGAUUUGAAUUAAAUCUUUAAAGUUUGAAUUUUCUAACUCCUAUAUAACUCCGAAAGUAUAUUAACGAGUUUUCUUCAUAUUCACAUUUGUUUUUCUCCCAUAUGCUUAAGAUUUUACUUUUGGAUGUUUUAUUGGAUAGUAGUUGCUUUUUUUUUUUUUGAAAAUGAUAGUAGUGAUAGUGACUAAGCAUUUCAAUGAAAUAUUUUUCAAUACUAAACACAAUCAUCUUAUUCAAUUUUUAUUUGUAAGUAUAAGAAUUCAACCCUAAAAAGAAAAUAAGCCAAAUAUUCUUCAAUUUUUGGUAUAGAAAAUUUCAUUAAUAAAAAAAUUGUAAAUAAUAAAUCACUUAUUAUGAAAAUUUAACUUGAAAUUAGAAAUUCUUUUGUCAUAUAAUCAUUCAAACAAAAAUGCCUUCAUGAUAGAUCUACAUUCUAAGUGGACUUUUUCCAAAAACAUAAAUUUUUAUUCAUUAAGAAGAUAAAAAUUGAGGAACAAUUUUUCUUAAUUUGACAAAGAAAGCUAAAAUAUGACAUAAAAAUAUAUCUAUCACACUGAACGAAACAUACCUUCACAAUUGACAAAGAAAGUCAAAUAAAAUGGCUGUCAACCUACAAAACAAUCUUUAAAAAAUUAUCCGAUGAUAAUUUAGAUGUUAAAUGAUAUGGAUGAAUAAUUGGGUCACUGAAAAGCAAUUUUGCAGGUGCUUCCAUCCUCUAGAGGAUGUUCACAAAAGCUUCUUCAUGCCAUAUACCAAAUUUCUUAAGGAUGAUAAAUAUACAAUGGAAAGAUUGAAUCAAACUAAGAUUAAUGAUAUAAAAAAAACUAUAUAAAAGAUGAGAGUUCAUAAACUUUAAUCAGUUGGCUACCUUGAGAUGUACAACUUUUUAAUCUCUAAAACCAAGCCUAGGAUAAGAAACUUCACAUUGGUUACAUUAUACCUUCAAGAGUAGAUCGACAUCAACAAUUGACCUCAGAUAAGAAGAUAUUGACUUAACAUCUUGGAUUAGUUUUUGAACCAAGAAGAAUGCAUAUUAGAAACAUAUUGACACGAAGAUAGAAAAAUAAAUCACACAAAAAUGAAAUCGAUAAACAUGAACUUCUCCUAUUUUCUAUGGUCGUAACAUUAAAGAUUUCAAGGUUUCAACCAAAUUUAAGUCAUUGUUCAUAAAAUAUUGACAUCUUACAUCCUUAUAGAAAAAUCUAGAAAAAAUAAAGAACAAAACAGAACAUGAACACUAUCUAAAAACCACAUUGAUGUUCUGUACAGGAUUUACAAAACUUGAAACCUAAAACAUAAGUUAGUAGCUCACCAAUUUCACAGCAGCAAAACAAACCCUGCAUUGUGUUAUGAUUUUCCGUCACUGACAACUCUGGAGCUAAAAAAUGUAGAUGAAGUUAAAGAAAAGAUGCAGACAAACCAAAUAGAUGAAGAGUAUUUAUACCUAGAGACUAAACCAGGAAGGAUAUGAAAAGCCUCAAAAAUCAUCUUCCUCAUUCCAUUCAUUGAAUAUUAUUCAUUUUAGAAUUAAUUGAAAUUGGGAAUAGGAGUUUUGGACAAUGAAAAGUCAUGAAUAAUUCAUUUAGAAAAGUUGAAACAAUUAGAAUAUUAAAAGGUCAAGAAUUUUUUUAAAGUCAUAAAAUCAUUUGUGUUAUCAAAUUUUAAAAUCAAUUUCAUAAGAGAUGAAUUAAAAAUAUGUUUUUUUAUAAAAUGUAUAAAAAUAUAAAUAAUAUUUAAUUAGAUAAAUGGCGAAAUUGGAAGGGAAAAAUACAUAAAUUCUAAAAAUUUAGAAUAAAUAAAAAACUAUGUGCUAAUAAAAUAACAUAUUUGUAUUACUAACAAAAAUCACAUAAUAAUUAAAAAUAUUUUUUUAAAAUUAGUACUUGUUAAAGCAUUGUUGAUUAAUCUAAUGGAAUACGAAAAAUCAAUGUUAUUAAAAUGCACACAUUAAUUAAUAUUUAAAUUUAAAACGUUAAAUUUAUUAGGAAUAUAAACAUGUAUUACAUUAAAGCAGUAUGAUAAAUUUAAUGAGAUGGAAUGCCAAAAACCACCUAUGUGUAGAUAUAAUAAUUUGAAGAGUGUUCAGAACUUGUGGUCAAGAUUGAAAGAGGAUGCUAUGAUCAAAACCAACGAACGGUCCUGAUCGAUUUCUAAUUCAAUAAGAAACAUAAUUACAGUAAUGACCAUGAAAAAAAUACAACAAUGUGUAAUAAUAAAGUGAAUUACAAAAUUACCCUCUAAGCUGCAUGAACUUCUCUUUUAUAUUUCACACAUUAAUUAAUAUUUAAAUUUAAAACGUUAAAUUUAUUAGGAAUAUAAACACGUAUUACAUUAAAGCAGUAUGAUAAAUUUAAUGAGAUGGAAUGCCAAAAAUCACCUAUGUGUAGAUAUAAUAAUUUGAAGAGUGUUCAAAACUUGUGGCCAAGAUUGAAAGAGGAUGCUAUGAUCAAAACCAACGACCGGUCCUGAUUGAUUUCUAAUUCAAUAAGAAACAUAAUUACAGUAAUGACCAUGAAAAAAAUACAACAAUGUGUAAUAAUAAAGUGAAUUACAAAAUUACCUUCUAAGCUGCAUGAACUUCUCUUUUAUAUAUAUUAUUAUAGAUAGAUAGAUUAUAGAUUAUAGAUAGAUAGAUAGAUAGAUUAUAGAUUAUAGAUGUACUCUAAAAAAAAUUUGAAAAGUGCAACUACAUGCCAGACUUGAUAUUAUGUGAUGUAUAUUAUGAGAAUGAUCCUUUAAUAUGAGAAUAAAUCGCAACCGUUUGAUCUAAUCAAGAAUAGUUAAGAUUAAAAUAUUAUGUCAUGUGAUGUUUGAUCUAGUGUUCACUUGACAGUAGAUAUAUGGGAAUUCAAGCGGUAGAGAGAUUUUCAAUUCGUGUGAACGGAAAACACUUCUUAAUCAGUCUCCUACCGCUUAGUGCACUGAUUGUGGAUAGAAUGAUUAGUCUCACGACUAUCAGCUAUGGAGAUACCUUAGUUAAGAAUAUAUAUAAGGGAAUCAUAAUUCCAAGCCCAACAAUUAAAAAAUUGUAUGUAUUUACAUAGUACAUUUUGUUAUAAAUAUUUGGAUGUCCGUCAUGGACCAAGCUCAUAUGUAUACUUGUUCUAGACUAUUCUCCUAAUAUUAUAAAUACAAGGGAGACUACACCUAGCAGUUAGGGAUGGCAAUGAGUCCAAGACCCAUUGGGUACCCGCAAAAAAUACCCACAAUGGGUAGGGUAAAAACCCGCAAAAUGGGUAUGGGGUUGGGUAUGGGUAAAUACCCGCAAAAAUUAAUGGGGCUAUACCCAUACCCGCACCAUACCCGCACACAUAUUAUACAUAUACAUACACAUAACUGGUAGUAUAUUUUAAUAAACUUAAAGUAUAACUUCCUAACUUCUCUUAAAAAAUACGUAAGUGAAGUCUUUAUAUUAUAUAUAUGGUUCAUAAUUAUUCUCACUUAUUUUUAAAAUAAAUUAUUAACCGACAACUUUAGGAGUUUAUUAAUAAUCUAAAUUUAAAAAUUUAAAGCUUCAAUUUUCACUUAUUAUUUUUUAUAAAAUUUGUACUUAUUCAAAUGAUUUUACUUCUUAAUUACUCGGAUGAUCAUUUUUAUUUUAAUUAAUGAUUUUUAUUUUAUAAUAACAGUUAUAUUUUGAUUUUCUAUUGAAGAAAGUUAAAUUUUUAUGAACUAAAUUGCGGGUAACGGGCACGGGUACGGGCAUAUAGGUACCCAUAGAGUACGGGGACGGGCAUUCAGAUUGCUACCCACACGGGUAUAGGGACGGGUACGUGUACUUUUUGAAAACGCGGGUAUGGGGAUAGGUACUAUAGUACCCUACCCAGACCCUACCCAUUGUCAUCCCUACUAGCAGUAUAUCUCCAUCAGACUAUUUCUCUAUCUCUCAUAAGUCAUACCUCUCUUCUCCUCUCUUUAUUUAUUUGUUAGUCUCUCUACAAUUCCGAAUUCCUAAGUGAAGAACAAGAAAAGAGUAAGUCGCGUGAGACAAUUUUACAACUCAAACUUUUAAUUCUGUAAUUCCAAGCAUCACCCUCCUAGAUAUUUUUUUACACUUCUUAUUUAGCUUCUAUAUAUUAGAUCUCUUUGUCCUUUUUGUCUUAUAAAUCUCAUGUCGAUUUGCUUGCUUUGUUCAAUUGUUCACAUGACUUACAAUACUUUAUUACUAUUUGAUGAAAUCGAUAUUAAAGUAAAAUAAUGGACGUCGUUAUCGGGUUAAUAAUACAAAGCGUGUGAAGAGAACAAAUUUCCUGUGAAUUUCUGCAACAUGUUGCUAGCAUACUUUGUUUGAUUUUCGAGACUCACUCACACAGUCACAGACCAUUCAUAUUCCACACUUAUCAUUCCAAGCCUUCUUUUAUCAUGGCUUUGCUACCAUCAUCCUCCUCCUCCUCUUCCAUCACCUAUGCAUUCACAUUUGAUGUGUUCAUCAGCUUCAGGGGUUUUGAUACCCGCUAUGGUUUUACCGGCAAUCUCUACAAAGCUCUAACUGAUAAGGGAAUUCACACCUUCAUUGAUGAUGAGGAGCUUCACAAAGGGGACGAAAUCACACCAUCACUUGAGAAGGCCAUUGAAAAGUCCAGGAUUUUCAUUGUUGUCCUCUCUAAGGACUAUACAUCAUCCUCGUUUUGCUUAGAUGAACUUUCCAAGAUUCUUGACUGCUCUCAGAAAGAGGGUCGUCUGGUUUGGCCAGUAUUUUAUGAUGUGGAUCCUUCUGAUGUGCGGAAGCAAACUGGGAAGUUCGGAGAAGCAAUGGUCCUGCAUAUGGAGAGGUUCAAAGACAACAAGGACAAGUUGCAAAAAUGGAGGAUAGCUCUACAAAGAGUGGCUAACUUCUCGGGUUGGCAUUUCAAGCAUGGGUACUUUUCUUAUACUAUUUCCUUGCGUUAGUAGAUAUUGUCUAAUUAUUACAAUUUGAGUUAUAGUGAAUGAAUGUAAAAAAAGAACAUGAUGCAUUAUUAUGACUUUACACAAACUUCCCUUCUCAUAUUGGACAGAGAUGCAUAUGAACACGAGUUUAUCGGAAAGAUUGUUAAUGAAGUCUCAAGAAAGAUUAAUCGUGUUGCUUUACCUAUUGCUGAUUACCCGAUUGGACUAGAGUCACAAGUGCGACAUGUAGUUUCGCUUUUGGAUGUUGGGUCUAUUGAUAGAGUUCACAUGGUAGGGAUCCAUGGAAUAGGUGGAAUUGGUAAAACAACACUUGCUCUAGCAGUUUACAAUUCCAUUGCUGACCAUUUUGAAGGUUUAUGUUUUUUGGAGAAUGUUAGAGAAAAUUCAAACAAACAUGGGUUACUACAUAUCCAAAAGACCCUUCUUUUGGCUGUCCUUGGAGGGAAGGAAAUUGAGAUAACAAGUGUCAAGCAUGGAAGUUCAAUAAUACAACAUCGGCUCCAACAAAAAAUGGUUCUUCUGAUUCUAGAUGAUGUUGACAAGGAGGAGCAAUUAAAUCAUGUUAUUGGAAGACCUAAUUGGCUUGGUCCUGGUAGUAGAGUCAUCAUCACGACUCGAAACCAACAAUUGCUAGCAUGCCAUGGGGUUGAAAGAACAUUCAAAGUGAAAGAGUUGAAGAAGGAACAUGCUACCGAAUUGUUCAAGUGGAAAGCUUUUAAAAACCAGGAAGUUAAUUCAAGUUAUGAGGACUUACUGAACCAAGCAUUGAGUUACACUUCCGGCCUUCCAUUAGCUUUGGAAGUAAUAAGUUCUAACUUGUUUGGUAAAACAAGGGAAGAAUGGGAAUCGACAUUAGAACAAUAUAGAAGGAUUCCACCUAGAGACAUCCAAAAGAUACUUGAAGUGAGCUUUGAUUCUUUGGAGGAAGAAGAGAAGAAUGUUUUCCUAGACAUUGCUUGUUGCUUCAAAGGAUAUAAGUUGGAAGAGUUCAAGGACAUACUUUCUGCUCAUUAUGGUUUCUCCAUAGCAAAUCACAUUAGAGUGUUGGUUCAAAAGUCUCUCAUAAAGAAUACUAGUUUGACUGAAAAAGUGACACUACAUGACUUAAUUGAGGAUAUGGGUAAAGAAAUUGUGCAACAAGAAUCACCAAAAGAACCUGGAAACCGCAGUAGGCUAUGGUCUCUUGAAGAUAUAUUUGAAGUUUUGGAAGAAAAUACGGUAAGCCUAGUAUGGAUGAUUUGGUUGUUUAUCUUUAAUCUUGAUUUAGCCUUUUUGAUUAUUCAAAGCUACUAAUGUUUAUAUUACCAUUUUCCCGCUUUAUAAUAUUUGCAUGUCUCUAAGAACUUGUGUUAAUGUCCUAACGUAUAUGUAUUCAUUUUGAUUGGUUUGUCUUUUUUUAAGGGAACUAGCAAAAUUGAAAUGAUACAUCUAGAUUUCCCGUCAUCUGAAGACGUGGAUUGGGAUGGAGAGGCUUUCAAGAAGAUGAAAAAACUCAAAACACUUAUUAUUAGAAAAAAUCAUUUUUCUAAAGGUCCAGAGCAUCUUCCAAAUAGUUUAAGAGUAUUAGAGUGGUGGAAAUAUCCUUCACAACGUUUACCAAGUGACUUUUAUCCAAAGAAACUCUCCAUAUGCAAAUUACUUGAGAGUAGCUUGGUGUCCUUUGAGUUGCUAAGAUCAUCAAAGGCAAGUAUGAUAAUGAUUUCAUAUCCUUGAUCUUCUUGUGUAUGAUACAUCACUAAUAUUCAUUUGAUUCUUAUUUUUCUUUUUUAUCAGAAGUUCGUGACUAUGAAAGUUUUAAAUCUCAAUCGGUGUGCAUCAUUAACACAUAUACCUAACCUAUCUGGUCUCCCAAAUUUAGAAGAGUUUUCAUUUGCACAUUGUUCAAAAUUAAUUACUAUUGACUGUUCCGUUGGGUUGUUGGACAAGCUUAAAAUCUUGGAUGCUGAUUAUUGCUCCCAGCUUAGGAGUUUUCCUCCCCUUAAGCUGCCCUCUCUUAAAGAACUCAAGCUUAGAUGUUGUUCAAGUCUUGAGAGUUUUCCAGAAAUAUUGGAACAGAUGAAAAAUAUAUACGAACUUGAUUUGGGUUGCACUAACAUAAGCAAAUUUCCACAUUCAGUUGAAAAUCUUACUCGACUUGAUGCAAUGACAGUUUAUCACUUGCUUCCAUCAAGGAGCUUAGUCACGAUGCCACAACUAGUAUGGCUCAAAAUCAGGCAGCAGUGGAUAUUAGAAGAGGAGGACGAGAGUGAGAGUGAAGAAGAAGUGAUGGAUGGUGGAGCUAUGGCAUUAGUUCCCACGUUGUUUCCUAACUUGAAUGAAAGAGAGAGUUCCAUUCUUUUGCCUUCAAAAGUAGAAUAUCUUACUCUCGAAAAGUGCGACCUGUCAGAUGAAUAUUUAGUAUCAGUUCCCUCGUUGUUUCCUAACUUGAAAGAGUUAUGCCUAAAGCAUUGUUCACUCACAACUGUACCUGAAUGCAUCAAAGAAUGUCGCUUUUUAUGGAGGCUUACCUUGGCUUAUUGCGAGCAACUAAGAGAGAUUUUUGAAGGGAUUUUGCCAAGAUUAACCUACUUAUCUGUAAAAAAAUGUCCAUCCUUGAGUUCCAGUUGUAGAAGCAUGUUGAUGAGGCAGGUUAGUUUUUGAUUUGAUUUGUUAUGUUUAGAAUGUAUUUAUUGAUUUCAUCAUUAUUAAUGUUCUACGCUAAAUCAGGAACUGCAUGAGGCUGUAGACAUUCGUCUUCAUUUGCAAAACUUAGAAGGAGAAACGAUUCCAGAGUGGUUUGAGUACCAGAACAAGGGUCGAUCUCAGUCAGUUUCUUUCUGGUUUCGUAACAACUUCCCUUGCAUCUUACUAUGUAUGCCUUCGCCAAAUGUGCCUGGUCAUAAUUAUUUAUUUGUAGAUUCCUUCAUCAAUGGCUAUUCAUGUGACCGUUUCCGAGUAGAUUGGGGUCAUACGUGUCUUAGUAGGCUACGCCUAACAGACAAGGAUAAAUAUAUAGUUAUAGAAAAUGGGUGGAACCAUGUGGAGGUUAUGACUGACAGUGGCUUAGAUUGUGGAAUUGGAAUCCAUGUAUGGAAAGAGCAAAACACGAAGGAUAUCCGAUUCACGAAUCCUUUAGACUUGAACUUGGCACCACUUGAAGAGGAUGAUGUUAAUACUGAGUUGACUCGUUUAUAGUAUGUUCACAUGAGAUCAGAUGUUGAAGUAAGUAGAUCAAUCAUUCUACAAAAACUUGACUUCACUUAAUGGCAAAAUAUAAUUCUUUCUUUUUCGUUCCUAGGAGCACCAAAGAGGAAGGUUGACAGCUGAAAAAUUCUUACCGGGCAUCUUGAAUUAUGCAGCAGCACAUUAUUUAGAAUCCAAAUUGCAGGAAGUUCUUAAAAUACUCCACAUAUACUGGAACAUUGGUUCGUUGGAUUCCUUAAUUAAUUGCAAAAAAUUAAUUAAGUUUGCCUUUUGAUCUUAGCAAUUUGCUUGAACCUUCAACCUUGCUUGAUCCAGUAUGGUAUCCCAAUUCUGGGGCAACAAACCACAUGACUUCUGAUCUUAGCAAUUUGCAUCACAAGGUUCCUUACACUGGUCAUGAAAUGGUUCAAUUUGUAAUGGUGCAGGUAAACCUAUUAAGGAUGUUGGCAAUACUUCUUUUCGAUCCUCUUCUACUUCUUUUCCUCUUGUUUUGAAUAAUUUGCUUCAUGUUCCUGGUGUGUGCAAAAACCUGUCGAGUGUUUCACAAUUCUGUAAGCAGAAUAAUGUUUUCUUUGAAUUUCACUCUGACUCUUGUCUUGUGAAAUCUCAGGAAACCGAGGAGACUCUUCUCCAAGGAACACUUAGGAAUGGUCUAUAUGCUUUUGACAACCUUCUUCACAAAGUGAACUUGCAUUCUGCUUCAACACCUUCAAAUUCUGCAUUGUUUUCUUCUUCCAGUCCUGCAUCUGCUUUGUCUGUUUCAGUUUUUCCUUCAAAUAAAUGUACUCAGGCUGACAUAGAUUUUAGACUGCGGCAUGCUCGGUUAGGACAUGCUUCACAGAAGAUUGUAAGCCAUGUACUCAAGCAAUGUAAUCCUUCUUUGUCAUUGAAUAAAAUCAGUGUUGUUUGUGAAUCAUGUUGCUUGGCAAAGUCUCAUCAACUACCUUUUCAUUCUUCUCUUUCUGUUUACCGUAAGCCUCUUGAAUUGGUUUUUUAUGAUAUUUGGGGGCCUUCCCCAAUGCCUUCUAGGACUGGUGAGAGAUAUUAUAGUCUUUGUGGAUGCAUUCUCUAAGUAUAGCUGGCUGUUUUUACUGCAUCAUAAGUCACAGGCUCUUGCAUCUUUUCAAAGUUUAAAACCCUUGCUGAAAAUCAGUUUGAUGUCAAGAUUAAAGCCCUCCAAACAGAUAAUGCCAAAGAGUAUCUCGCCUUUAACUGCCUAAGUUCUCCUUACAUACAAGAGGUUAAAAAAGCUCAUACUUGAUAAAACUGAAGAUAAAGAGAGGGGGAUGGAAAUUAUACCCCCAAACAUGUGUGAACUUUCUUCGUGGACCCAAGCCCGUUCAAACGCUGUUGCUUUGGGAUGGAAAACUAUGAUUGACCGUGACCAAACUAAAGAAAAAUUGAUAUGGAGGAAUGUUGCAAUAGAUGGUAUGUGUGAACUUUGUUCUUCUUCUACUGAAUCUACAUCUCAUUUGUUUUUCUCUUGCCCCCAAUCAUGGAAGGUGUGGUCAAAAAUAAAUACUUGGUUGGGGUAUGAAAUUGUGCUCCAUGAUGAUGCUAAUUAAGGACAACUUUUUGCAACUUCCCCAUAUGUGGCGUCCACGAAGGAGAGGAUGCUGGGUAAUUUGGGUUGCAGUUAUAUGGCAGAUAUGGAUGGGGAGGAACUCCAGAGUGUUUAGGGGAGAGGACUUUGAUUCCAAUGAAGUCUUUGAGAAGGCACAAUUUAAGGCUUGGCUGUGGCUAAGGGCUAAGGCCGGAAAUUUCUCAUUUUCCAUCUAUGAUCCAUGCUCUUGUCUAAGUGCACUGUGACUUAUUUUGACAUGGCUGAUCCAGAUUCUGAGAAUUCUAAAUUCUCUAGGUGUCUGGUGCUGUAAGGAUUGGCGAUUUUUUAGUCUUUGGAAAAUGUUUUGAUUGCAAAGGAGGGGAGCUGGCAUCUCACUUACUAGUUGGACUGUUUCAAGGUCUUGGAAACUAUUUAUAUAUGAUGUUUUGUAAGGGAGAUAGCUGGACUAUAGGAGAAGGGUCCCUAAGGAGAGCACCUCUGAACCUCACAUUCCAUGGUAACUGCCAAUACUUUUAAAGUCAGUCACUCAGUUGGAAUUUUCUACAUGCCAAAUAUUAAAAAUAAAACCUACUCACUUGGAUCAAGUUCUCUAAUUAGUAUAUGAUGCGUCAAACUGAAAUAAUAUUAUAAAAGAUUUUGAAAUAAGGUUAGCAGUAAGACCAUCUUACUUAGAUUCCUAGGUCUUGGAAGUGGUUCAUCAAUUGAUAAACCAUGAAUCCAAUGGAUGAUAUCUCUCCCUUUUAAUAAUACAAUUAUUAUGGAAAGAAAAAAUAAAAGAAUUAGUAAAUUGUAUGGUGCCAAUAGAAGAUAAAUACUAUUGCAUGGAAAAAAUCCAUGCAACUCACGUGUCGCUCAGACCUUUCUAAGCCACCAAUUGUUAGAUGCCAAAGAAUAGUCAAAUAGAGCUUCAUGUGGAAAAAACACAAAAUGAUAGAACUAAGCCAUAUACAAACAUAGAGUACUUCACCUAAAGUCUUUUCAAGUGCCAAUUUCCAAUUUAGACCACCUAUUUUCCAAGUUCAAUUUUUCAGCAAACUUGUUGGAAUAAAGGUAAACACCAACAUUAACCCAAUUGGAAUUCCUACUACAUAUACAAACCUUGUAGAUUCCGAACUUGCAUCCACAAAAUUGCGAUCUUACCCUCUGCACUUUCCAAUCCAACACAUGGCCCAAAACGGGAAUCAAGACAGGGUAAUGGAUGAUUAUGAUCAUCACCACCAUGACCAUGACCAUGCAAGUGGUGAUGAAUAUGAUGAACAUGAGCACAAGCUGAAAGGGAAGAAAGAAGAAGAGCCUUCUGUGGAGAGGGUGUUCAAGCACCUGCUUGUUCCUUCAUGGAGGAACCAGCUGACAGUGAGGGCCUUUGUGGUGAGCUUUGCACUCAGCAUACUGUUCUGUUUCAUUGUCAUGAAGCUCAACCUCACCACUGGGAUUAUUCCUUCACUCAAUGUCUCUGCUGGACUUCUGGGAUUUUUCUUUGUGAAGACUUGGACUAAGUUCUUGGAGAGGUCUGGGUGGUUGAAGCAGCCUUUUACUAGGCAGGAGAACACUGUCAUCCAGACCUGUGUUGUUGCCUCCUCUGGCAUAGCCUAUAGUGGUAACCUUAUCUUACCUUCUCUGUUUCAUCACUCUUUAUCUUUCUCAAUCUGUUCUUAUUGCUAUUUUUUUUCAGUUGUUACUGUGACCCCUUUGUUUAGUUCAUGGGUUUAAAUAUGAUCUGGGAUUGAUUAUAGCAUGUUUCGAUCAACUUAUUUUUCGUCAGAAUCAAUUCUGACACCUAGAAGCUACUCAAGGAAGCUUCUCCGCAUAAUUAAUUUUGGGUUUAGACUCGAUUGUAGAAGGAUUUCUUAACAUGUUAAUCUUGCUAGCAUGCUUCUUGAAUUUAAAUUGACAAGAAGUUUUGAAUAAUUGGAUUUUCGGUCCUGUUUUAGAUUCUACUGGAUGCUAAUUUGAGCUAAGCAUGCUUUCUAGUGUUGAAUUGACUAUUAAUUUGAUUCCUCCUGAAGAAAAUCGAAUCAUUUGCUCCCGGUUCAAUCAUUUGGAAAAAAAAAAACAUCAACAGAUAAAAUCUAAGUAGUUUUUUUUUUGAUAAACAAAAUCAUGCAUUUAUUGGAGGUACAGGGUACCCCAACCUGUAAUAAAGAAAGCAGCAGAACUGCAAAUAAAAUCUAAGUAGUAAUACCAGCACAAAGAUGUUAACCAUUGAAAUGGUGAGUGUGUGUUUGAAUUUUUAUUAGCAAGGCUUGCAGCAUAUUUGGGUCCUUCUAGAAUUGAUUCUACAGCCAAAAUCAAUUCUGAGUGCCAAAAUCAAUUCUGAGUGUCAGAAUUGAUUUUGAGAGAAAAUAAGUCGAUUCAAACAUGCUAUUAAAAGCACUUUCAGUGGCAAGUCAGGUCUCACAAUCAAUUAAAAAAAGGGGUUUUCCAUAAAUGUAUCUGAAAUCCAAACACAAACCAAGUAUAACUAGUCCAGGUGCUCACCUUCGUGAUAUGGUAAAUAGUUUUACUAUUUUUGUGCUUUUUUCUAGUUUCCAAAUUCUAAAGUUAACUCCCUCUGUUUGAAAAGAAAAGGUUACUUGCUAGUUGCUACUUUUCACUAUCAAUCACUGCCUACAUGAUAAUGAACCUAUAAAUAGCAACAGGAGAAGAGCUGAAAAGUCACCUAUUUCAUCCUGUCAUGAAAGAUGAAGCUUUUGUUUUCAAACUUCAAAUCAUACCAGCAAAUUUGGAAAAUUUUGGGCUGCAUUAAUUACUAGACCAAAUGUCCUGACUCAGGAAGCAUAGAAGCCAAAGUUUCAAUUUACUUUUUCUUUUUUUCCUUUCUUUUUUGUGCUGAGCUAAAGUUUCAAUUUACUUUUUCUUAUCUCAUAAUUACUUUUUUUCAAGAUCAUCUGUCAUGUAUCAUUUUGAUUGUAUUGUAUCUGAACCUGAAAGGAAACUAUUUAAUCUUGCUGAAAUGUUGUCAUAGUAAUUUAAGAAAAUUGGAAUCUUAGAAAGGAAACUCUAGAGUGAGAUUUUGAUGUUAUAACUGUAAAAGGAAGCCUAAGCUGGUUAUGAUCAAGAAACAGUUUUUUAUUGAUGUCAUGAUGAUUGACUCACUUAAAUGAAAAAAUUCUUGUCAUGACAGGAGGAUUUGGGAGUUACCUCUUUGCAAUGAGUGAGCAUGUAGCCAAGCAAUCCUCAGACACCCAGUGAUUUUAAGGACCCAAAAUUGGGGUGGAUCAUUGCUUUUCUCUUUGUUGUUAGCUUUCUUGGCCUCUUCUCAGUUGUACCUCUAAGAAAGGUAAUGACACAUUCUUCAAAUAUUGAGACUUCAGUAUCCAUAAAUGAAUAUAUUAAUAAUUUAGAAAACUUGAUGAGGCUUGGAUCAACUUUUCUUUUUACAGACUCAGUUUUGGCACCUAGAAGCUACUCACAAAAGCUUCUCUCCAUGAUUGAUUUUGGCUUCAGAAUCAAUCGAAUCAUAGAAUCAUUUUUUUACCUUUGCAUUUUUCAGUCUUUGAAAAUCAUUGCUGAAACGUAUUUUUAAGUAAUAAAAUGAUUUAUUCUUACUGCUUUACCUCUAGCAAUUAUUUAUCAGUAUCCCUUGCCAUGCCACAGUCUUUGAUUAAUUUUUUGCUUCUACUAUUGGAUGUAGAUUAUGGUCAUAAAAUUCAAAUUGACAUAUCCAAGUGGUACAGCAACUGCCCAUCUCAUCAACAGCUUCCACACUCCUCAAGGAGCCAAACUAGCAAAGUAAGCACUGUAGCAGACUCCAUGUUACUAGAAGUGAGCGCAUGAGGAGUUAGACAUCCAUCAUACUAAUUUACUGCUUCUUUUCCACUCUUCCAGGAAGCAGGUGAAAGUGUUGGGAAAAUUCUUUGGAUUGAGCUUCUUCUGGGGUUUCUUUCAAUGGUUCUACACUGCUUCUGAUGGAUGUGGAUUCCAAGCCUUCCCCUCACUGGGGCUCAAAGCAUUUGAAAACAAGUACGUUUUCAUAUCACAUCACAUCCCUUCAUUUUAAAUCAAAUUUAUGUUUCCUGAGUUAAAACAUAAUUAAACAUAAACAAGAAAUUUAUCCCACUUAGUGAAGUCGGUUAUAUGAAUCACAUGAUCCAUUUUGAAGAUACAACGAGUUUAACAUUGUCUGCCACAAGCCUAACACAGCAUUCCACCUAUAUCCUGGCUUAGACCGACUAUGACACAGCAUAGGUGGAUUUUAUUCUAAGAUAAAAACGUGCAUUAAUAUGAACUUCAGAUUAGUCCAACUAAUUUGUAUGUGUCAAUCUAAUCUUUACUUAUUUGCAGGUUUUAUUUUGAUUUUGCUGCAAUCUAUGUUGGAGUGGGAAUGAUUUGCCCAUAUAUCAUAAAUAUCUCAGUGCUCCUUGGAGGAAUUCUUUCUUGGGGAGUAAUGUGGCCUCUCAUAGAAAACCAAGAGGGUCACUGGUACGAUAAGGGCCUCGGUGACGGUAGCCUUCACGGAAUCCAAGGAUAUAGGGUAAGUUUCCUGAUGCAAAGCACCUAUAGAGUCACAUUAGUUUGCAUAGUUUCUAAGGUAUAUCAAUUAAUAGGAUUCUCCUUACAUCUUGAGUUCAGGUAUUUAUAGCCAUAGCCAUGAUCCUGGGAGAUGGUUUAUACAACUUCGUAAAGGUGCUAUCUCAUACCUUAAUGGGUUUGUAUUAUCAAAUCAAGGAGAAACAAAGGGAGAAUGUUCUUCCGGUCGCUGAUCAGGACUCUCCCUCGAGUCAGCUAACUUACGAUGACCAGCGCCGCCAGCAAUUCUUUCUUAAAGAUCAGAUUCCACCAUGGUUUGCAGUUGGAGGCUAUGUUGCUAUUGCUGCCAUCUCAACCGCCACUCUUCCACACCUCUUUCCCCACCUAAAAUGGUAUUACAUUCUUGUUAUCUACCUAGUUGCUCCCGCCUUAGCAUUCUGCAAUGCUUAUGGUUGCGGGCUAACAGACUGGUCCCUAGUAUCCACCUACGGGAAGCUCGCCAUCUUUACAAUCGGAGCGUGGGCCGGUGCAUCACACGGUGGAGUUCUUGCUAGCCUAGCAGCCUGUGGAGUGAUGAUGAACAUCGUUUCCACCGCCUCUGACCUGAUGCAGGACUUCAAGACCGGCUACCUUACGCUGUCUUCACCGCGCUCCAUGUUUGUGAGCCAAAUACUUGGAACAGCUAUGGGAUGUGUGAUUUCUCCUUGUGUCUUUUGGAUUUUCUACAAGGCCUUUCCUGACCUUGGGACACAUAAAAGUGAGUACCCUGCCCCAAAUGCAAUUGUGUUCCGCAACAUGGCCAUACUUGGGGUACAAGGCUUCGGUUCGCUACCCAAAAAUUGCCUCAUGCUAUGUUAUAUCUUCUUUGGUGCUGCCGUUGUGAUAAACUUGAUCAAAGAUUUAAUGGGCAAGAGAGGGAGGUUCAUACCACUUCCAAUGGCUAUGGCAAUUCCUUUUUACACAGGGCCUUACUUUGCCAUUGACAUGUGUGUUGGAAGUUUGAUAUUAUAUGUCUGGGAAAAGGUUGACAAGGCUAAGGCAGAUGCAUUUGGACCAGCUGUAGCUUCUGGUUUGAUAUGUGGGGAUGGAAUAUGGACACUUCCUGCUUCAGUACUUGCUCUUGUUGGAGUUAAGCCACCAAUUUGCAUGAGGUUCUUCUCAAGGGCCACAAAUCAAAGGGUUGAUACUUUUUUAGGGAAUUAAGGUCAAGUUUGAAAUGAGUUUGUAUAUUUUUAGAAAUAUGCUUGCAGCACACUCUUCCGUAUAUUCUAUCUGAUUAGUUUGCUUUUCAAAAUGUCAAUACAUUUUCUAAAAGUUCGGCCAAAUAUAUUGUCUUCUUAAAAAAAACCAAUCACAAAAUAUGUUGGAGAGUGUUUAAACGAGGAUGUUGCUAGCUUUCCUUGUCUUUUUACUGUUUGAGAGUUGUUACUGCCUUGUAAAUGGGCUAAACAUCACUUAAGUUUGCUCUUUAAACUUCUUUAGCCACAUAGUUGAACAAAACACAAUGAAGAAAAGGUAUUAAUGUAUGUAAUAUAUCAGAUAUAUAAUAUAUUAGAAAGAAAGUAUAUAUCUACAUGAUUGGAUUUCAUUGUGUCAUCUCGGGAUUCUGAAACAUCUUUUUAUCGACAUGCUUUCUCUUAUCAUGUCAUAUUUUUCAUUGUAUUGCAUGUACAUUGGUGGCAUCUCAAUAACUUUCAUCUGAUCCUGGAGGAGUCAGAUGGCACAAUUUGUCAUUGAAUUUGAGAGAUUCUGAACUGAGGCCUCUUCCUUCUUAACGAGUUCUUUUUUCUUUGAAAGCUUUGACUUUUAGAGUUAUAAUUAGUAAGUUUAAAUUUCGAAAGAAAAAAUUUCAAAAACCUAGAGUUUGAAAAAUAAUUAAAUAUGCAAACAUUAAUUUAUUAAAGACUUAUAAUUAUAAACAUAGAUGAAAUAAAGCUUUAAGGGUGACACUUCCCGAAUUUCUAAUUUUGAGAAAGUCAUUGAAUUCUUUUUAAUCAAAAAGGGGUUCAGAAAAAGAAAAAAAAAAAACCUAUAUAAGAUGUAUCUAGUGACAAUGAUCUUUUUAUAUGAAAAUGUGACAAUAAAUCACGACGGUUUGAUCUAAUCAUGAAUGGUUAAGAUUAAAACAUGAAGUCACUCACGUUUGAUCUAAUGUUUCUUUUGACAGUAGAUAUAAGGAAAUUCAGGCGGUAGAGAGAUUUUCAACUCGUGUCUCGUGGUAAGAGAUUUUCAACUCGUGUGAAUGGAAAACACUUCUUGAUCAGACUCCAACCGCUUAGUGCACUGAUCCCAUGGGACAAGUGAUUAGUCUCACGGCUAUAACCAUACUUUGGGUAAGAAAGAAAAAAUAAGCAAAUCCUAAUUCCAAGCCAAACAAUUAACAAAUUGAACGUAUUUACACCCUACUUUUAAAAUAUUUACAACUUUUCCUCCUUUUUUAAUCAUCUCUCUUCUUAUCUGCUAGGACAUGCACUUCCCUUGCAUGUGUUACUUGAGUGCAUUCUAAAGAAUUUUUGUCUUUGACCAAAAAAAAAAAAAAAAAAAUUUUUGUCAAAUCUAUUUUUUUACAAGAGGGUAAAAACAACAGAAGCUCAUACUUGAUAAAACUGAAGAGAUAAAGAGAGGAGGAUGGUUGAAGGGUGAUGGAAAUAAUACCCCCAAACAAGUAUACAAGAUAAACAAUUGUCAAUCAUCAACAUCAAGAACAUUCAUAACUCAAUUGAAAAAACAGGGACACUAAUUUAAUUCAUUUGUUUUAUCUAAGUACAAGCACAUGCUAGUUUAAAUUCGAUGUCCAUAAUCUUGCUUCUUUAGUGUCAAUGCAUCCUUGUAGACCUCUUCAAAAGAUACUUGAAAGUAUAACACUAGGUAAUGACUACCUUCUGUGAGAUAAAUAUUGAAUUGGUUAACAGUGAACGAGUAUCAUUCUUUCCCUAUCAUAACCCCAAGGUACAUCUUCUCCCAUAUUAUGCACCAAAGUGAAUAGUGAUCGGUAUGCAAAGCUUAGUCCUCACAGUUCAUCUAUCUUAAUUCUUAACAAGUCAAAGGGCAUCAUCACAUUACUAGCAUGACCUUGCCCUGUCAUCUAUGUGCCUAGUAUCCACAACUCAGAUCACACUCUCAAGCAGCCCAGUCUUCAUCGCUUGCAUCAGUACCCUAAAUAGAACAUUGAUAAACACAAUCAGUAUAUCAAAAGGUUAGCACCAUUCUUGCUAGAUUCCUAAUCUGUGUGGGUACACAGCUUGUAAGUGAAAGCAUGUAUGAAGUUAGGAAGAAUAACCUCUGCUGCAUUUGAGAAUUCUUCAAUGUCAUCAUCGUCUUCAUCAUCUUCAACCUAUAUUGAUUAUGUAAAUGUCAAACUGCCAGCUCAAAGGAAACUGUCUGUAAUACAGCUGUAAAGUUUCUUAUUUCCUAAGAUGUUAAGAGCACCAAGUAAUCAUAUUGCUGAGGUUUAUGUUAAUUCAAUCCCUAGAGUGAAGAAUAUCAUAUGAAAUUUUAAAUUGAACUAUGGAACUAAAUCUAAUGCGUAUGACAUAGCAUAAAUCAAUGUCAAUCUAAAGAUAGGGCAAAACACUAAUCAUAAUCAAACAGCAUAUCUUCUCAAUGUAUCCUUCAGCGUAAGGCAGUAAAAAUCUUACAACUUUAACUUGAAGCCUGAAAAAAAAGCAUAUUGUUUGCUUUAACACUAAAAGAGCCUACUGCAAGAAGAUUUAAUCACUAAACUCACACAAAGAAAGGCAUAAAGUUCCAAGAAUGAGAAAAACUCACCUUGGAAUCCUUGCUUUCUUCCUUGACUUUUUCACCUAAAAAUUUACAGAACUUUUAGGUUGCCAGUUUCAUAUGAACAACCAACUUACUAAGACAAAAAAGAUCUCAAUGCAGAUAAGCAGUCAACUGAAAAGAGAACACAUAGAUAGAAACAACUUAUUUUACAUAAGACAGGUAUCAUAAAAGGAUAAUCAUACAAUGUCCGUCUAGUUUCUUCUACUUAUUUGAUGGUUAUGCGUCUGAGUCAGUUUCACAGCAUCAACAAAACCCAAAUUUAUAUGAAAGACUAAUUAUAAGAAAAAUUCUAAAGUGGACUCCAAAUUGUUAUUCUAAAUAUAUAUAUCUAAAGUAAUUGCUUAAAACUAGCCUUCAAAAGAUUGUGAUCAACCAAAACAUGAACACUGAAAAAAUGUAUUACCAUGUAUUGAUGGCUUUAAGCAUGUUAAACUUGGCCAAACAAGUGCCAAUUCAUUCACAAGUUUUAUAUUAUUUCUAGUUCAACAAAGCUCCAAUAUCAUGCAUCUCACCUGUAUCUGAUUGGCCCCUUCUAACUACUAAGUUCAUGGUGUUCUUUCUUUCUUACAUUACUACAAAAAGGAACCGGAAAUGUACUCCUCUGUACAGUCUGACCAAAGAUCCAUUACUACCUUUUAAUAAUAAUAACAGUAACACCACAUAGCCAAUGAGAGAGGAGAGAGGGAGAAGACUCACCUGGAUCUUUGUCCUUGGUCUUUCUUGCCCUUUUUCUUGAUCCUUCAUCCUAUAACAAUAGCCAAUAAUUCAGCCCGUGUCCUACUCCAACAAAAAGCACUUAAUUGCAAAUUAAGGAAGAUUCUCAUUCCCACUUGAACAAAAAGAGAUUCAGGAAAUUAAGUGAAAAAACUAAACCAGAUCAGUCUUCCUUUUUGAACCAAAGCCAGAAGCUGAAAAACAAAAAAAGGAAAAUUAUUAUUCAGCAUUCAUAACCUUGAUCAUAAUAAUGUAAAGAAACUAGGAAGAGAACAACCUUUUGAUGAUAAAGAUUUCUUUGAAUCUCUUGGAGCCUUCUGAAAAUAUAAGAUUUCGGUGAGAUAAUCAAUUUGACCGGUAUUGAACACCAGACAGUUUAUCAGAUGAUUCAGAUCCAUUUUAGUUAAGAGAGAAAAAUAAAGCGAAACUACAAUCUUCCAAAUCAUGCUGAAAUACUGGAUAGUUUUCUAAAGGUUUAAUCGAAGAGAAAAAAUACAUUAAUUGAGAUUAUUUUGUUGCAUAAUUAAACAACAUAUGUGUGAAGGUUAUUAUCUUACAUACGUGUAUGGGUAGGGUUGGGUACUAGAAUACAUGUACCCAAACCAAAACCCGCAAAAUUUAUUGGACAAUUACCCAUACCCGACCCAUUUAAUGGGGUAUGUACCCUACCAGGUACGGAUAACUUUUAUGAGUACCCACUUAGCUGGCUUUAAUUUCCGUCCCUCACCCCUGCCACCACAAUAUUGUCCUUCAUCUUGCUAUCCAGAGUCCAGACCCCCAAGUUCUGCCAUUCUUUCUUUCUCCUCAGUCCUCUCCUUUUCUAUUUUUCCUCCAUUUACCCACCAGAUCUCUUGCACCCGUUGGAAGUAAAAGCUUCAGAAGGGUGCUUUAAAUUGAAAUAGCCCAUAAACUUCGGGAUUAGUAGUGUAGUGGGUAUUGAUAUAGAAUAAUAAAAGUAAUAAAUGUGAAAAUAUAGAAUUUGACAAAUAAUAGAUAAAGGACUGACUGGUUUGGCUAAGGCCCAAAUUUUUUUUAAAUACUUCCUUCUAUAGCACAAGCAGUGUUUAUAUCCACAAAAAGCUAAUGAAAACAGCCUGAAAUUUGGCUUGCUCAAUUGGUUAUUGACUGGUUUUGACCAGUCCAAAGUGAUCCCACCUGGUCUUGAACUCAGGUAUGGCUUUAUGAGCUAAGCCAUAGUGACUUGAUAUUGGGCUCAAAGUCACAGAUCAAACUGUCUAGCCCAGUCUAACUAUCAGGUUGAGUGAAGACAACACUACUUAAAACAAAUAAGCGGAAAACCAAUCCCACCUGUGCCUACUUAGAAGUUGGAUAAAUAAUUAAAUAUACAUUUACAUGCAUCACAUUACACACAAUUCUUCAGAGGAACUUUGUCAACUUUCACAUUGUUUUAGUGGGAAUUCAUUCUGCACUAAGAUCUAUCACUCAAAGGCAAUAAUACAUAGAGACAUAAAUGAUACCAAGUUACCUACAGUUCCACUCAUUGAAAACAUCAUCACAAUCUGGCAAUGAAGAUAAACAUCGACCAAAAUUUUCUCCCAGCUUCUUAUAAAGGAAUACUUGGGGGUUGUUUGAUGCUCUUCAGUUUUUCUGAAUUUAAAAAUUAUUUUCAUGUGCAAUUUUUAAAACUUGAUAUUCAGAAGAAAAGAAAAAAGAACAAUGUAAACGAGAUGCUUUGCAAAACUCAAAGACCCGUGACUUGAAAACUAAAACUAAAAAUAAUAACGGUUUUUUAGAUUCAUAUCAAACGAUUUCUUUUCUUCUUCAGUUUGUAAAAACUAAACAAUUUUACAAACCAGUAAUCAAACGGGCCCUUAGCUACGUAGAGUGCAGACAACAAAAUACUCAAAUAUUAUCAUGCGUUCAUAUUCCAUCAUGAAAUUACAGUUAUCAGCAGCAAACUUUUCAGGAUAUUAAAGUUGUAUUUUGUUAUAUAUUGAUCCCUGUCCCACCAAUAUAUAUACCCAAAAGAAUUACACUUCCCCGAACAAGUAUGUCCUUGUAUCUUCUAAAAAAAUUAGUAAAAGAAAUAAAGAAUAUGAAAGGUGGAGGGCAUCUGAAGAGAACUUGGAUACAUGAUGAGAGCGGGAUUUUACUUUAAGCCUCCAAUACCAGAUUAAACGUUUUAUCUAUAGCCCAUGACAAGUUAGAGAUCAAGAUAACCUUUUCCUUAGUUGCUUAGAGAUACAGACAAUGUCACCCAAAAAGAGAUACAUACAACACACAAUUUCAAAGAAUCACAAAUCUUAGAUGCUAAUUUACCAUAGUUCCUUUUAAGUACAAAAAGAGAGGAAUCUAGUGUUGGCAUGAUUAUACAUUUAUAAAAUAUAAAAGAGAUGCAAAAAAAUAAUUGAACAUUUUUCUUUAUAACUGGUAAGUGCUGGCUCUCAUGCUAACAAUUUAAAAGCUUACCUUUUCUUCCACUUUCUUGAAUAAUGUAGAUAUAGUAGCCUGAACAAGUGAGCCACGAGUACUGGAAACAACUUCAGUAGUUGCAGUACCUGAAGCAGAUUGAUACACUUUCUUGCGUUUUGACUCGGAAGCACACUCUUUAUUUUCCGUCGGAAGUUGAUCUCCUGCUGCAUCGCCCCCAUCGUCGAUGUCAAUAACUACAGUUUCUAUCUGUACUCCAUGAAUUAAGGAAGAUAAAAGAAAAAAUCACUGAUGAUAUAGAAUAUAAGAUCAAUGAACUUCUAAAGCCCAGGUUGAGUGGUGAUCAAAGACAUCAAAGAUCAAAAAGGAAAAUCUAGUUGAACACUCCUAUUCAAUCAACUUAUAAACUAUAACGGUCAUUUGGAUGUAUUAUGAACAGUAAAGUUGAAUUGCAAAAUUCAAGGAUGAGGUUCAUUUGAAAAAUUGCAUGCAAAAGCAUAGCUUGCAUUUUUCACCCCAACAUUAAGGGGAUACCAAACUAACUAUAAGGAUAUUUGCGGUAUUAUGACCAUUCGCACUAGUGUCAACUUCUACUUUUUCUUCAUGUUCGGAAAGGUCAGGACUGCUUUCACCAGAAUCACCUGAAGAAGGCUCAGCAAACCUGGCCCAACAAAAGAUCUACAUGAAUAGGACUUCAAGUCAUAAAUGAUAAAAAAUUUACUUAAUGAGAUAUUGCACUUAAAGUUAAAUAGCUCAAAACUAAAUAGUCACACAAAAAUAAAACUUAAUUUUUUUAGGCAAUGUGGGAUGGUCUAUCAGCAUAUGACAAAUAAUGUUUUGUUACACCAUUACUCUUUCUUUACUUUAUGUUGGAAAGAAACACAUAUCAUGUAAACUAAAAUAGUCUGGCUUAUACUUGUAUGAUUUUGUCGCAGUUCUAGCUGAAUGGCGGACUGGAACCAAUUCCUUUGUGUCUUUUAAAUUGAUUUCACUCUCCUCAGAUAAAUCAUCUUCAAUGGGUGUCUCUGGUGAAUCUUCCUCUGCAGGUUGAACCCUGGUUCUGGUAACACCUUGAUUAACUACAGAAGCUGCACCUGCACCUGCACCCCCUUUAAAGUCAUAUUCAGCUUGCUGUCCCUGAAAGAGAAGGAGAUUCCAAGAGUUCAUCAUGAAAAAACAACAUUAUAUUCUCGUCAUGACAAAUGAGGAAAUACAGAAGCUUCUUGUAGCCAGACCACUAUAACACUCUAAAAAUACCUAACCUCAUACAAUUCCUUAGGAAAUUCCAGUCUGGCUUCUUCUGGGUUCUCAUCUUUCCUCCCAAUCCACCAUGCAUCCGAAAAUACAAUCUAGUAAAAUCAAGAAAUUGUUGAUAAAUAAGGAACACAGGAAUUCAUGCCCAAAAAGCUCAAUGCAGUAGAUACAUAUUUGUAAUAUAAGAAGAAAAAAGAAAUGCAAAAACUUUUUUAUUCCUAGACCAACAAGAAGUCACAAGCACAAGGAGUGGGAAAGAACAUAAGCUUUGUUAGACCGAGAGAUAACUAUAUUAUAAAGAAGAAAGAAGAAACAAAUCAGUAAUGAAAAAAAUUAACUCUAAUACCACAAACACGGGAAUAAAGAAACAGAAUGAGUAUGAAAUGGGAAUAAUGAAAGCACUUAAUAAAUUCUAGUUCUCUUACUAUUUUGCUCCAUAUUAUGGAAGAAACAAUUCAUUCUUCCAUCCAACCUACAGAUUAAUUCAUUUAGGGCUCUUAAUUUUAUGCUAUGGAGAACAUAACAAGAAAUACCAGCACCAUUAUUUUCCUUACCCAAGUACCUAUUCACCCAUCAUGACAUAAAAGGAUAGUCAGCAUGCACGAGGAAGUUUUUUUGACCAAGGUUUCAUUAUUCCCCUAAAAAUUUGAUCAUUAAUCUAUCAUCCUGUAGUUCAUGGCUCAGAGGCAAACAAAAAAUAACCAGGAAGGGUGAAUAAAACCAACCAUGUUAUCAAAAAAAUCUUCACACAUAACACUCUUUCCACCUCUAGAGAACUGUAGAGUCAAGUAUCUGUUCUUUGGAUAUACAAUAGUCCCAAAUAACUUCAUUCGCCCCUGUAAAGUACACGCGAAAAUGCAUCAGUCACCAAUAAACAACACACCAAAUCAAAAGCCCUAAAAUGUUAAACAACUUAAAUGACAAAAAAAUAAAUAUAUAGAUAUAUCAAAACAAACAUUUCCACUCUUGCUUUCCAUUUCCUUCAAGCAAGAUUUAGAUCAACAAGUUGCCAUUUAUGCUAAGUCCAGCGCCGAUUAAUCUGAUUUGUUAAUUACAUGCUACAACAGGACAUGCCACUUCAGCUGAGUCAGACAAAUCUGUUACAGCCUCAGCCAACAUGGAAGAACAGAUCAAGGUGUUCACUCCAAGUUAAGGGAAUACAUGAGGUGAGCCUUGGAGGGAAGGAGUGUAGGCAAACUUUCCUCACAGUACACACUCUUCUCUCUAGCUUUUCUCCGAAUUUCUUCCUCUUGAACUCUACUUCUUACUUCUUUUCCUUCCAUCAUAGUUUCUUUUACUAGUAACUAACCCUAGUUUUUCAUUACAAAUUUAGAAUUCUCUUAUUACAGUUCCAGUUAGUCCAUUCACUGACACCAAGAAUAAAAUUGUCAACCCCAUUACAACUUCACAAGCAGUUCUCAAUUUCUGCUCAGUAUGUUAAAUCACACACUCAAAUGACUAAAUUGCAAGCAGUGCCACCCUUCCAAAUUCCAAUGACUAAAUCAUCAAAAAAUAAACUUUUUCAAAAAUUGAAACAAACCCAAUUCUUAGCACCCCUCAAAUCAACAAUAAAUGCAAAAGGGUAAGUAAAACAAGAGGAAUAACAACCUGUGGAAAAUCGAGAUAGAGAAUGGGGUUUUUGGUACCCAAAUCUUUGAGAUCACCGAUCUUGCCACCAGCAACAGGAGCAAAGAGACCAGGGAAGGAGAAGAGGAACCUGCUGCUUUUCCUGUGAGAUUUCUUGAUGAUGUCUUUGCCGUGAUGCUUGGCGACGAUGGAAGAAGGGUUGAGGUGGAUGGAGCUUCUGGCUGGAGUCUCAGAGAGAAUGUUGUUGGAGAAGGCAAAGGAUUUGAGCCUGUUGCGCUCUGUGACUUCUGGGUUUGUCGCCUCCAUGUCUUCAUCUCCAUCAUCAUCGUCCCUCUUCUUCUUCGUCUUCCCUCGCGCCAUUUUUUCUAUUCUUCUGUGCUCACUGCUCACAAUCACAAGCGGGAAUACAAGAGUACACUUACCCUAAGGGAAAUGGAAAGUUGGCAAAUGUUUACAACUUGCAAAGUUGUCCUGCGAUUUAGCGUACUCUCGCGAUUUUGACCCGGGUGUGGUGAAGGUCAAAUGUCUUUUCAAUAGUGCGGUUUCUAAUGAUCGAACAUUCAACCUAGGGAUUUGAACAACCACUUUUACUACUACGAUCGAUUGGCACCCUUUGGGUAGAUCAUGGGAUUUUAAAUUAUGUGUUCUUUUCUUAAUAACGAAACUUGCAAGGAUCCAUCUUUAAGGUGUUUAUAGAUACAAAAGAAGUAAGGACAAUAGCGUGGAACAUUAGAGGAGGUGCGGGCGCAUAUGAGCAAAUGAGGGUUAAGGAGCUUGUUUGGUUUUUUAAGCCUUUUAUUUUCACUCUUGUGGAAUCGCAUCGUUUCUUUGUUAGGGCGGUCUCUUCCUAAGGCAACCAAGGCUAUCAGCUGUGUUGUGAAGUUAAAGCGGUACUAGGUCAUAGUGCGGGCAACUAGUUUCUUGUGCCUUAGAAGUCAAAAUAAGGACUUUGCCACCUAUGUUGUUGAUCUGCGUGCACAACCAGUUGUUGUAGCUAUUGAACAAAGAAGGGGAAGGUGGGUGUAGACAGUCAUGUAUGCGAGCCUGAAUCCAACUAGAAAGAAGAUUUCUUGAAUUACCUUACUAACCUUAGACGUCAUAUUGGUGAUAUGUGGUUGGGGUGGAGUGACUAAAAUGAAACUUGUUCUCCUCCUGAGGUUUCGGGAGGGGAUUAUUGGGAGUCGCGAGCCCUGAAGAUGUUGGAUACGAUGGAUGAGUGCAAUUUCCUUUCCCUUGGAGCUCUUGGUUAUAAGUUUACUUAUGAAAGGAAACACAAUAGAAUAAGAGUGUUCAAUGGCGGAUGCACGUAUAUCAUUAUGGGGGCAAAUUCCCGCACGAAAAUUUUGACAUAUUAGUAGUAAUAUAUACUAAUAUAUCUAUAAUUCGACCCCACUGCCCCAUAAAUAGUAUAACUUCUCUUCUUUUACAGUUUUAAUUGCCCUAACUGCCCCACACAUAGAAUCCACAUAUAUCUAUAUUAAGUUUAUUGAUUGGUAGAUAAAGUUUGUUUCACACUUCAUUUCCACUUACACUUAUAACAUAUAAGAAAAAAAUGGAGAAACGAGAGAUAUAAAAAGGGAAAGAAAAGAAAUAUAAGAGAAGAGAGUAAGUAAAAAUUAAAUGAAAAGAAAAUGUUAGAUGUGAAUGAAUCAAAAUUGUUUUGCUUCUAAUCUUACUAGAAUUCUAAUAAAGUAACUCAUAGUUUGGAUAAAUCAAUUUAAAAUUUUAAGAAAAUCAAAAGAAUGAGAAAUAUAAUUUAUUUUAGUUAUUGUUAGUUUUGAAAUAUUUUUUGAACAAAUAUUUUAGGGAUUGGAUAAAGAGAAUUUAAUAGAUUAAGGGUGUGUCGGUGUGAGAUGUUAUGGAAGAGAUUUUUAGAAUUUUUUGUAAAAGGGUGAAAUUUUAAAUCUUUUAUUUUGAGUUAGAAAAAUGUCAAAAAAAAAUAGUUGGCAUUUUAAAAAUUCUCUUAUUUAAUAGUGAGUGAGAAAAAUUCCAAAAAAACCAUUUAAUGCUCUAUUGAAAUUAUAAGUGGAUAAAUAAGUGAACGAUUAUUUUAAAACAUAUAGUAACCUUUAACUUUUCAUCAUACAUGUGUGUUGCCCCCAUAACUUAAAAGUUCUGGAUCCGGUCACUGAGAGUGCUAGCAAAGAGGUUGGAUAGAGGAUUGGGGAUGUAGCAUGGAGGUUCUAUUUUCCAUAGACGUAUGUGGAGUAUUUGACCCGUUUGUAUUCCGAUCAUUCACCCUUCUUCAUUAGGUGUUAUAUAGAUAUUGGAGACAAGUAGACUACACCGUCUCAUUUUCUUGCAGUCACUUAUCCUUCCUUUGAGUAUUUGGUUGGUGAAACUUGGAAAAAGGAUCUCACGUCUUUGGUGGCUAAGCUACAAAAUAUGCAGGAAGUUUCUCUAGCUCUCACUAAGAAUGUUUUUAUCCAUUAUAGGAAAAAGGAUAAUGGAGCGGCAAUUACGAGGGGCUCAGUAGGAAUUUGGUUGGUUCUCAAUCGAAGCUCCAAUGUGUUUGGAGUAGGCGUUGCAAAAGGAGUAUGAUGAUAUUCUCCUUCAUGAAGAGUUAUUUUGGUAGCCAAAAUCACAUGAAAUCGUGGUGAGGUUUGAUGAACGAAACAGGAAAUUUAUUCACGCACAAACGAGGGUGAGGAGGAAGAGGAACAAGAUCCAUGGGCUUUUGUAGACGAGGGACUUUGGUGUACAUAUCCAAAAGUGCUUCAAGAGGAAGCACACAAUUUGUUUACUAGCAUGUUUUCUAUGUGCGUCCAGCUAUCUAGACAUUGUAUUAUGGAGAACAAGACCCAUCCAUACCACAUGUAGAGAAGGAGAAGUUCAUUUGUCUUGUUUCUAUAGAGGAAGUAAGGAGAGCAAUUAUCACUAUACGUCCUUUUAAAGCUAUAGGUCAUGACGGUUUUCAGAAUUAUUUCUACAAGUAGUAUUGGUACAUUAUGAUAAGGAUCUCCACCCUAUGGUGUCAAGGUUGUUCAUGAUAGGAAAAUUUGACCUAACUCUAUUGGAUAUUCUAAUUGUUCUAUUUCUAAAGUGGAUAGCCCUAUUUAUUUCAAGUAGAGCUAUUAAUACGGGCCAACCCAACCCAUACGAGUUGACCUCAUCGUGGGUUGGGAAAAAAAACCAAAAAUUGUUGAACUUGGCUUGACCUGCCACAGGUUGGCUGGAUGACUGAUUUGUUUAAGGAAGAAAAAUACAAAAUGGGAAAAUUAGAAGAAACAAAUAUUGAAAAUGUUAUAAAAGCUUACCUAUGACAAAUUUAGUGUGGUGAAAAAAUAUUGAAAAUUUUAUAACAUAGUUCAAAUGUGUAAAGUAUAAACCAAAUAUCCAAAAUUAACACAAUUUAAUAACAAUACUAACACAUUGCACCAGGGAAGCCUCUUUGUAUCUUCCUAUGCGUAGUGUCCUUCGUCGGCUUGGUUUGGAUGUAGACCUGUGCUGCAAGUUUUGUGGGGUUCUGACGAGAUCGUGGACCAUGUUUUGAUGUCUUGCAUUGUCAAUAGGAGCUUCUGGUUUGGCUUUCCUAUUUCUUUACGACUGGACAAUUUCUCCACUUUGAGGGAAAUUCUGAUUAUGUUCCUUAAUGUGGCAUAUCCAAAAGGCAUUGCGUUAUGGCAAACUGGAGUAUAUGUGUUAUGGGAGGCGAUGAACAAGUUGUUGUUUGAGGGCUGAAUUUUCUGCUGGGAGAGGGCGAUGUAGAGGGUCUCCAUGCUUCGUGGCUCGACAUCCCACGAUCUGCUCUGGACAUGGCUGCUACCUGGACGAUCUGCUGCGGGGUUGGCUGAAAGUUAAUUUCGACGCUUCGAUGCAUGCUUCUAGCUUCGCUGGGAUGGGAAUGGUGGUCAGGAAUUAUGCAAGUGAUGUCCUUGCAGUUGUUGUAGAGUGUUAUGAUGGUGUGUCAUCACCGAUUCUAGCGGAUGCUAUGGCCAUGCAUUGGGCUAUGUCCUUCGCGGUCUAGCUGGGUUUUCGCCGCGUUCUCCUUGAAAUGGAUUGCCUUCAACUUUUCCAACGAUGGAAGAAACCUCUGGAUGGUGGCUCAUAUUUUAUUUCCAUUAUUAGAGAGUGUUGUUUAUUUAUUUCUUUUUUUUGGAGUCUGUUAAACUUUGUUUUGUUCGUCGUAGUGGUAAUUAUAUUGGUGAUUUCUUGGCACAAAACGCUUCCGCCAAUGCAGGUGUUGUUUGGGAUGGGAAUGGUGGUCAGGAAUUUUGCAACUGAAGUCCUUGCAGUUGUUGUAGAGUGUUAUGAUGGUGUCUCAUCACCGAUUCUAGCGGAUGAUAUGGCCAUGCAUUGGGCUAUGCCCUUCGCGGUCUAGCUGGGUUUUCGCCGCGUUCGCCUUGAAAUGGAUUGCCUUCAACUUUUCCAACGAUGGAAGAAACCUCUGGAUGGUGGCUCAUAUUUGAUUUCCAUUAUUAGAGAGUGUUGUUUAUUUAUUUCUUUUUUUUUGGAGUCUGUUGAACUUUGUUUUGUUCGUCGUAGUGGUAAUUAUAUUGGUGAUUUCUUGGCACAAAACGCUUCCACCAAUGCAGGUGUUGUUUGGGUGGAGCAGGUUCUGCCGAAAGCGCCUUCAUUUGUGAACAAUGAUAUUUUGGCUUCGAUGCCGCUGAUUUCUUUGAUUUAAUGCAGUCAUUUUUCAAAAAAAAAUUGCACCAUUCACUUUGUGCAAGUAUCUAAAUUCAAAUUUGAACCUGAAAUCUGAAAUAGUUUAGCCUAAUAUCAGAAUCCAACAUAGUUUAUCAACAAAUUUUUUAAAAACAAAGUUUGACCCGUGGGCCAACCUACUUGACGUGGUGCUUAAAUGAGUCAAGUUAGACUGGCAUAAGGUUUAUCUGAACUGUAUUUUAACCAACCCGACCCGCCUAGUACGGUUAGGCUUGGUUGGCAUUCGAGUUGGAGCCCAAAUUGACAGCUCUAAUUUCAAGUAAUAAAGGCCAAUUAGCUUACGUAAUGUUGUUGUUAUAAAUUCAUUAAAAAAAAUGGUUGCAAUCAAGUUUCGACCUUCGCUUAAUGAUCUCGUGCGGGCCACUUUAGGGUAGCUUCGAAUGCGGGGAAAGGAAUGAAGGAUAAUAUUAUUCUGGAUUAUGAGGUCUAGCAUACUAUACACUUGCAUAAAAUGGUUGGAGGUUUAUUGGCACUGGAAAUUGUUAUGGAGAAGAUGUUUGACAGAGUUGGCUUAGUGAGAAAAUCCCUCGUUCGUUUGGGGAGAAGAUUAUCCAUAUUCGUGACAUGUUGGCCAGAGAUUGGAUCGUCAUCUUCUCUCAUAUUUCUCAUGAGCUAAAUCUAGAUGUAGAUGCUUUGCCUAUUCAGGCGCCUAGAUAUCUGGGUUCUUAGCGGAUAUAGAAGUUUCACCUCUCGAAUUUAAUCUUCCGAGUAUAACCAAAUAUAUAUAUAUAUAUAUAUAUAUGAUAUUGUUUUUAUAAAAUUAAUUAUUAUUAUUAUAAAUUUAUCAUCAAUUUUUUCCAUUUAUUAUUUCAAUAAUAUAAAUUAUUUCUAUUGAAAUUAAAUUAACCAUGUUUAUAUUACUCAUUAGUGCUUCGUCAAUUUUACCAUGUUUAUGUUAUAAAUAUCAUAUAUUAAUUUAUAAAUUUAACUCAAAUGAUAAUUAAUUUUUAAUUAUUGUGUCGUCUAGUCAAUUUUGUUAAUAUUUUAAUAUAAAAUACUUUAUUUGAUAAAUAAAAUCUAAUGAUUCAUACUAUCAUUUUCAUAAUAUUUUAUUUAUUAACCUCAAGGUCUAGUGGAGCAUGACAGAUGACAGAUCGCAAGUUCGAACCCCCGCUGUCUUCUAGGGGUGAGGUUAAAUUUAAGUCAUAUGUAAGUGAUUUUUGAGUCGGACAACUUUUCCAGCCUUGGACCGGGACAUCAUCCCCUCACUCUAAAUUAUUUGUAACCAAUUUUUUAUUUUUAAUAAUUAGAUUUUUAUUUUUUUUCAAUUGAUAACAAUUAAUGUUGAAGUAUUUUUAAUAUUUCAUAAUUAAUUUAGAUAAUAUUAAUUAUUAUUAAAUGUAAUUCGAAUACUUAAACUCAAUUCCCUAAAUGGUUUAAUACUAAUAUACAAUUUUAUCUUUUUGAUUGAAUAUUAACGUUAUGAUAUAUGUAUUUUGGUAUUUAAUUUUUUAAUAUUUUAAUAUUUAUAAUAUAAAAUAUAUUUUAAUGAAUUUAACUUUUUUGACUUUUUCUUAACUUUUUUUGAAAUUCGACUUUUUUUUCAUUAAUGCCUCAUACACACAUAUAUAUGGCCCAAGAAAAUGGAUACAUACAUCAUUCUCAUUAGAGUUUAUAAGAUAAACAAAAACUCAGAAGUACUCCCAUAAAAUUAGUGAUUCGGUCUAGUAUUGUUAAGUGCUAUCACUAUUUUUUGAAAGUGUUAAGUGCUAUCUCUAGGUUGUGCAUAGUAGUACUUCUAGUGGUGGUGUUUUCUAUCCUUUUUCUUUCAACAAUGGAUUUGAAAGUAAUAACUCUCUGUUACAUUCUUCCCUUAUUAUUUUUGGUAUCUUCAGCGGAAGAUGUGACUCUUAGCGUGAGAGGGGUGACAAAUAUUGCUACGACAGAUGAAAAUUUUAUAUGUGCAACCUUAGAUUGGUGGCCUUCUAACAAGUGUGAUUACAACCAAUGUCCAUGGGGUCAAGCUGGCAUUCUCAAUCUGGUGUUUAUUUUUAUUUGAUAACUCAAUCUGUUUUUUUCCAUUAAUAUCCAUGCAUAGUUUGAUCAUAAGAGUAACUAUCUCAUGUUAUGUUUAUGCAACGUUUGCAGGACUUGGGAAACAAGAUUUUAUCAAAUGCUAUUAAGGGUAUGUUUUCUAUUUCUUAAGUGAAAUCAUAGUCAAUAGAAAAUUUUCAUGCAGAAAAAAAGGUUAUUAGCCUUUGUAGGUUGUUCUAAAGAUUAGAAAAAUUGUUUGAAAAAUCUGGUUAUUUAAUUUGUUACCUGCAAUUCUUAUCUCCAUGGGGAGGCAACAACAAGAAUAUAUUAUGUUUGAAUACCCGUUUGCAUCAGUGCAUAUGUACAUUAACACUCACUUUGAAACAAAAAGUGAACAUACUUUUCUCAUGGAUUGUGAUGAAAGUCCAUUCAUAUUACACUCAAUUGUUAUCCUACACACUAAUUAUCAUUCGGAUAUCUAAUUUCUGGCUAAAUUUUGGCAGCAUUUAAUCCCCUGAGAAUCAGAUUAGGCGGUUCACUACAAGAUCAGAUUAUUUAUCUGUUUGGGAAACAAAAGAAAUGCCCCAAUAUUAGAAAGAAAGAUGAUGGUCUAUUUGGUUUCAGCAAAGGCUGCCUUCCCAGGAAGAGAUGGGAUGAAUUAAAUGAUUUUUUAAACAAAACUGGGUACGACUUUCCCUUCCUUAUCUCAAUAUCACUAUGCAUGUACAAUGUUAGCACAACUACCUCAACUGUCUUUUUCUUUUCUAUUUUGCAGAGUGAAAUUCACUUUCAGCCUGAAUGCCCUCAUUGGAAAGCAUAACACAAAGGAGGACAAGUUGAACUGGGUGGGGAAAUGGAACCCAACAAAUGCCAUAAGUCUCAUGAAAUACACAGUUUCAAAAGGAUACCAAAUAGACUCAUAUGAAUUAGGUAGCUAAAAUAUUUUAUUUUGUAGUUUUGAAUUACAAAUUCAUAGUUUUUUUUUUUUAAAUUGAUGUCAUGCACUAUGAAUUAUCAUGUUUAAUCUUAUGUUAUUAGGAAAUGAGCUAUGCUCUGAAGGGGUAUCUGCUAGAAUAGGCAGUGUUCAAUAUGCUAAAGAUAUCACUAAGCUCAGACGUAUAGUGAAUCGACUAUACCCAAAUCCUAAGUCAAGGCCAAAGGUGUUAGGCCCUGCUGGUUUCUAUGGUAAAGAGUGGUUUGAAAACUUCUUACAGAAUGUAGGACCUGGUGUGGUUGAUGGAGUGACCCACCACAUUUACAACCUUGGUGCUGGUAUGUAUGGAUUCUACUUUCUAGGCUUUUCCAAUAACAUGCCAUUAUGCAAUUGAUUGUUGAAUAGGGAUUGGUUUCUAAGAAAGUUAUCAUAAAUCAAUGCAGGUGUUGAUAAAACUCUAAUCAACAAAGUUCAGGAUCCAUAUUUCUUGAGCCAAAUCACUCAAACUUUCAAAGAUGUCUCCGUAGCGGUCGAGGAAUUCGCGCCAUGGGCAGGACCAUGGGUUGGGGAGUCCGGUGGAGCCUAUAACAGUGGUGGAAAAGAUGUGUCACAUACUUUCGUUAAUGGAUUUUGGUCAGCCUAAAUCUCCUAGUGAAUUGAUCUUUUUCCUUCCCCUUUCAGGAUUGCAAUUGACAUGUCAAUGUAUUUUGAAUGAAUAACUAGGUACUUGGACCAGCUUGGAAUGACAUCAACCUUCAACCAUAAGGUUUAUUGCAGACAAACUCUGAUUGGUGGAAACUAUGCUUUGCUAAACACCUCAACCUUCAUUCCUAACCCAGAUUAUUAUGGGUAAGUGUCUGUCUUUUAUAUAUUAUUCAUAAAAGCGAGACAAAAGUGAAUGUUUGGAAAUCCUUUUAUAACUGAUUAUAAGUUAAAAUCAAUUUUGAAUUUUGAGGUGAAGCUUCCGUGAGCAGCUUUUUGAUGCCAUAAUUGAUUCUGGAAAAAAUAAGUUGAUCCAAACAUGUUAUAAGUGAUGAAAAUCUUAUGAACAUACCUUUUGAACAUAGCUCUUUAUGUCAUCUCAAAUUUGAAAGGUGAAGCUUCCGUGAAUAGCUUCUAGAUGCCAGAAUUGAUUUUGUUUGAUCGAAAUAUGCUAUAAGUGAUGAAAAAUCUUUUUCUCCAACUAACAUGCCUUUUGAACAGAGCUCUUUUGUGGCAUCGGCUAAUGGGAAGCAAUGUGCUAUCUGUAUCUCAUGAAGGGUCUCCAUAUUUGCGUGCAUAUGCUCAUUGUUCUAAGAAAAGAGUAAGCUUAUUCUUAUCAUGAUUUGGUCUUUCUUUCUUUCUUUCUUUCUUUUGUAAGUAUGAAGGUUGAACUUCAGUUCUCUUUUAGGGUUUAACCACAUUGAUCCCUUGGUGUUCUUAAAAUUUCUUUUUCUUUUUUUGUCUCAAUGAUCCAUCUAUAUGUACCUUAUGUUCCUAAUAAUCAUGGUCAUUUGAAUCACUAGCUAAUGCCUAAUUCUUUGGUAUAAUUCUUUUCAGCCUGGUAUCACUGUGCUCCUCAUAAACAUGUCCAACUCCACCUUCAAUGUCUCCAUUGUUAAUGACAUGAAUAUGUACCCGCCGGAGGACACAAAUGAAGGAAUUGUACUAACAAGUAUUCCAAUCAGCUCAACUGAUACACAAAUUAGGGAAGAGUAUCACUUGACACCCAAAGAUGGAAACAUUCAAAGUGAUGCGGUGUUGUUGAAUGGAACUCCACUGAAGCUGACCAAGUCAUUGGACAUCCCAGAAAUGAAACCACUGCUAGUUGAUGAUCCAUCAUCUUCUCCAAUCAAAGUAGGGUCUCAUUCAAUCGUGUUUGUACACCUCAAGAGCUUCAAUGCACCAGCAUGUGCUAAUUCCAGUUAGUUAGCAUAUAUGCAAAUCAACAACAAAUUAUUUCCUUUAUGUUUUUCCUAGGCCAUUUAAUUAUUCCUUUUAUAUUUGGUACCUUAUAUGCAUAUUUUUGCUGGUGUUCUUCACUAGUUUUAUAAUUCAUAUGCUUGAAUAAAUGUUUUAUUUAAAUUAGUUCAUCGUCAUAAACAAUUAUUUCAAAUUAUAAAUAUUUCCGGUUGAAGUAUGCAGUAUCUCUUUGCAUCCACCCCAUCCUCCCUCUAUGCCUCCAUUGCAACCACUUUUACAUGGAAAACCACAUGCUUUUUGCAUGCCAAAAAAUUUCAGAUGACAUCAGUAUCACCUUUAUUUCUAUUUUAUAAGUUGUUAGUCAUUUUAAAUUUUUUUUAUUCUAAUGUUGAUUAUUUAUUGUUUUUUUUUUAUUUCCUUUGAGUUAUGUUUUGUUUGUCAUACUGGGGACAUUGUAACGAAUUUUCUUCUCGGAACGCCACAGUUUUCCCAGUAUCAUUUGGAUUAUGGAGGUUCCCUGGAAUUCCAUGCUUUUGUCAUGAAUGAUGUAAUGGCCUCUUAGGCCUGUUUUUUUUUUUUUUUGAACGACUCUAGGCCUGCUUAAUUUCUCUUGAAUAUUCAGUUCUAAAAAAAUUUGUAGGUGACAAUUUUUUAUUUUUAGUGUCAGGUAAAGAGAGAACUAAAGAAGCCCAACAAAAAAUAAUGUUUUUGGUUGAGUGAUUAAAAAAAGUUUUGGCUGGGAAAAUUCGGAAAUCCUAUACUAUAUACUAUUUUUGAAACAAAAAAGUUUCAACUCCGACAAGUGUCACCCCCUCAUUCUUUGUCUUUCUUUAUAAAUUUUCUCUUUCAUACUAUAACUAGUAUGUAUACCCGUGCCGAUGCACGGGCACAUUUCUGAGUAUAUAAUAAAUUGUUUUUAAUAUAUAGAAUUAUUUGUUUGAUUUAUUUGUAAAAAUAUAAUAAUAUAAUAAAUUGUAUGAUUUUUUUUUUUUUCGUUUUUCUUAUCUCCAAAUAAGUCUACAAAAUUUAUAACUUAUAAAAUUUGAUAGAAAAUAUGUAUUACAUAUUAAAUCACAUUAUCAUUGUUUAGGGGGUUUUGGGUUUGAUGUAAGUUGUAUUUAUUUUGGUUCGGUGUUACCCUCUUCAUGAGAGUUUUGUUCUCAUGUAGAUUUCUUAUUCAAUCAUAAUUUCAGCUUUCAAAAAAAAAUCAUUGUGAUUUCCUAAACUCUAACUAAAUACGUAUGAGUAUUCAAAAUUGAAGGGAUGCAAUAAUAAUUCUCUUGAACUCAGACUCUCUCUUUUGGGUUCCACCCUUUUUCAAGGUGCACUCAGACUCUCUCCUUGGAUUCCAAACCAAUUCACAGUAAAAUCUCUUGUUUUUCUUAACUCGCAAAACAAAGUUGUAAUGUUUCUGUAUAUCUACUCCUAAAAAUAUUUAAAAAGUCUAGAAAAAGUUUAAAAAUUAUAUUAAAACAUUUUCUAUUAGAUUCAAUUUGAAGGUAUCUUCAUGCUAAAUAUUCCUCUUCGUAUCUCCCUUUUUUAUGUAACCUAAACAUCAUCAAUCAAUCUCUCUCUCUCUCUCUCUCUCUCUCUCUCUCUCUCUCUCUCUCUCUCUCUCUCUCUCUCUCUCUCUCUCUCUCUCUCUCUCUCUCUCUCUCUCUCUCUCUCUCUCUCUCUCUCUCUCUCUCUCUCUCUCUCUCUCUAAAAUUUGUUUAUAAUAUAUGGAUUUUUUUAUAUAAGUAAUAAAUAAAUAAAAAUAUAAUUUUAUGUUUAAUUAAUAUGAUUACGAUAUAAAAAAUUAAUAAUAAUAAAUUACAAUAUUUUUUGUUUUUUUUAUUUCGUUUUACCUAUCUCUAAAUAAUUCUACACAAUUUAUAACAUGUAAAAGAUGUGAUAUUUUUUGGUACAUCGGACUGAUAAAUUGCACUAUCUAGGAAUUGAUCCUUGGACCUCUCUCACUCAACCCAUAAAAUUAUCAUAAAAUUUGUUUUUUUUUUUAAUUGGAAAUAUUUUAAUGAAAACGUUCUUCCCCGUCGAAUCCCUAUUUUCACAAUCAAAUUAAAAUGGUUAUGUAUAUCUAUUCUUAAAAUUAAUUAAAAGUCUGUUAAAAUUACUAAAAUUAAAUUAAAACAUUUUAUAUUAGUUUCAACUUGAAAGUAUUUUCGUGCAAAAUGUUCCUCAUGUAGAAGCUUUUUACAAUAUAAUUAAUAAAUAUAAACUAAAUAUGUUUACUUUUCUGUAAUUCCCCGUGGGAGCCCUAUAUUCACAAUAAAAAUUAAAAUACUUUUGUAGAUCUACUUUUAAAUUAUGUAAAAAGUAUGAGAAAAAUACUAAAAUUACAACAAAACAUUUUCUAUGAGUUUCAACUUAAAAGUAUUUUCAUGCAAAAUUUUCCUCAUAUAAGAGUUUUUUACUAUAUAAUUAAUAAAUAUAGACUAAAUAUGUUUAUCUUUCUAUUAUUCCUUGUGGGAGUCCUACAUUCACAAUCAAAUUUUAAUGCUUAUGUAUAUCUACUCUUAAAUUAUGUAAAAAGUAUGGAAAAAGUACUAAAAUUAAAACAAAACAUUUUCUAGUAGUUUCAACUUGAAAGCAUUUUCACGCAAAAUCUUCCUCAUGUAGGACUUUUUUACUAUAUAAUUAAUAAAUAUAGACUAAAUAUGUUUAUUUUUCUCUAAUUCCCUGUGGGAGCCCUAUAUUCAAAAUCAAAUUAUAAUGCUUAUCUACUCUCAAAUUAAUUAAAAAGUAUGAGAAAGUACUAAAAUUAUAACAAAACAUUUUCUAUUAGUUCUAACUUGAUAGCAUAUUCAUGCAAAAUGUCCCUCCGCGUAUGAAAUUUUUUUAUGAAGCAUUUUUUAGAAAGCUCUUUAAUAUGUAACUUAUACAUAAAAAUAUAAGCUAUAUAUGUUCAUUUAUUCCAAUGCUCUCAAAAUUUCAUAUAUAUAUAUAUAUAUAUAAAUAUACAGGAGAUGUUGUUAUGGGAGGAGACUUUAAUGCUGUUUUGAAAGAGGAAGAUAGAAGCGGGGGAGGAGCCUUAUCACUUGGGGAUAUAGCUUUCCGGCAAUUUGUGACAGAUUCGGGAUUGGUGGACUUACCUAUGCUGAGGGGGCGUUUCACAUGGUCCUCAACAAGGAAUGAUGGAUUGGGGAGCAGACUAGACCGAUGGCUGGUUUCUGAGAAUACUAUAAUCCGUGAGAAUGAAGUUACUCAAUACGCUUUGCCGUGGGGUUCUUCGGAUCAUCGAGCUGUGGCAUUGUCUUUUGGAGCAGCAGAUUUCGGUCCAAAGCCAUUUACCUUCUUUAAUCAUUGGCUGCAAGAAGAGGGAUUUUAUGAACUGGUGGAAAAUUGGUGGAAAUCUCCAGUGGUGGAAGGGUGGGGAGGUUUCGUCCUAAUGAAGAAAUUAUCGAAUCUGAAAGUGAAGAUCAAGGAAUGGCGUAAAGCUAAAGGGAUCUGGGGAAUACAACGUAUUCGCGAGUUGGAGGAAAAGGUACAGGUGGUAAUGGAAAGGAUUGAGAUGGAAGGCUCUUCUGAAGCAUUAAGGGCAGAGAGGGUAAGCACUAUGACAGAAUUGUGGAAAGAAUAUAGAGCAGAAGAGGCGGCUUGGAUCCAAAAGUCGAGACUGCAUUGGGCAAAGGAGGGUGAUAGAAACACACGGUUCUAUCAUAGGGUAUGCAAGACAAGAACAGCAAAGAAAAGCAUCAAACAACUUCGACAGGGAAGUGAGAUUCUUGAGGAGCCUUUGCAAAUAAAACAAGCUGUGAAAUCUCAUUUCGAGAGCUUCUUUGCUCAUCAGACCUUUGUGCGUCCAAGGGUGCACUGUCCUAACUUGGCAACGAUGGAUGUAGAGUCUAACCUGUUCCUAGAGGCGGAAUUUACUGCCGAGGAGAUCUUGGAAGCAAUUAAGAGUUGUGACGCUGCCAAGGCACCGGGGCCUGAUGGAUUCACUAUGGCUUUCUUCAAGCAAUUUUGGAUGGUGAUUAAGGACGACUUAAUGAGAUUUUUCGCAGAAUUUCACAUGAAUGGAAAAUUGGUUAAGGGGCUAAAUGCGGCUUUCAUUGCUCUUAUUCCGAAAGGUAACAACCAGGAAUCGUUGGGUGAUUAUAGACCAAUCAGCCUCAUUGGCGGAGUCUAUAAACUCUUGGCCAAAGUUCUAGCAAACAGGUUGAGGGAAAUCAUGCCAGCUCUACUCACAUCAAAUCAGUUCGCUUUUACAAAGGGAAGGCAAAUUGUGGAUUGUUGCUUAAUUGCUCAUGAGGUGGUUGAUACACUGAAAAGGAAGGAGGGGGGUGGUUUCCUAAUGAAGGUAGAUUUUGCAAAAGCAUAUGAUAAUAUAGACUGGGGAUUUUUACAGGAUAUGCUAAAGGAAAUGGGGUUUGGGGAUAAAUGGCGUGGAUGGAUUCAGAGUUGCGUGUCAACAGCAACACUAGCAGUUUUAGUGAAUGGAUCACCGACAGAAUUCUUUCAAAUCCAGAAAGGCUUGAGACAAGGAGACCCGUUGUCCCCACUGUUGUUUAACUUGUGUGUCAAUGCUAUGUCUUGCAUGCUAAAUCAGUUACUGGUGGGAGAUUUCCCGAGCGGCGUUAAUAUAGGAGGUGACUUAAUCAUCAAUCACCUUCAGUUCGCAGAUGAUGCGUUAUUGUUCUGUGAAUGCGAUUUGCAGCAAGUGAGGAGAAUAACAAUGGUAAUGGAAGUCUUCUUGGUAGCCUCGGGACUCAAAGUCAAUUUUCAAAAAUCAUCCUUGAUUGGGGUGAACGUCUCCAGUGAUUUAGAGAUCCAGGCUGCAAGCGUGCUGAGCUUCAAUAGAGAUCAAUUGCCUAUAGUUUAUCUUGGGCUGCCACUUGGGGGGCGACCAAGGAGGGUGAGCUUCUGGAAACCUGUGCUGGACACCAUGUCUACUCGACUGGCAAGUUGGAACUCAAAAUUCCUUUCUAUGAGUGGUCGAGUCGUGAUGCUUAGAGCGGUGAUCAGCGCUAUACCUCUAUAUUAUAUGUCGGUUUUUAAGGCUCCGCUUGGUGUUAUUAAGGAGAUGGAGGUAAUGAUGAGGCGGUUUUUGUGGGGGGGUUCAGGAGAUGUAAGGAAAAUAUCAUGGGUGGCUUGGGAGAUUAUAUGCAAAAGUCAGAGGUUUGGGGGUUUGGGAAUAGGCUUUCUAGGGUGGAAAAAUAAAGCACUACUACUUAAGUGGAUGUGGAGGUUUGGGAGGGAGAAAGGAGCUCUAUGGAGAAGGAUAAUCUGUCUGAAAUAUGGGUUGAACCUGAACUGCAUAAUGCCUCAUUUUGAGGGGUUGAGGUUGAACGCUGGGUCCUCCAUAGUGCAAGACUUAUGGGUGUUAUGGAGAGAACAAAGUCCAGUGGUUUCUGAAUUCGUGAACGGUUUGGCUUGCAGAAUUGGAGACGGACAGGGCGUGAGAUUCUGGACUGAUGUUUGGUGUGGGGAGGUGUCGUUGCAGAUUGCAUAUCCGAGGGUCUUUGCUGUGUCAUCUAACAAACAAGCCUUGGUAGCAGAAGUGGGGCGUAGUAAUGGAAAUCAGUGGAUAUGGGAGCUUGAUUUUCGAAGGUCUUUUUUUGAUUGGGAACUGGAGCAAUAUAAUAGCUUCUUCCAGCAUAUUCAAUCAAUGAUAUACAAGCAUGGACCUGAUAAAUUACUAUGGAGAGGUGAUACAAUGGGCGAAUUUUCGGUGAAAGCGUUGUGUGGUUGUUUGGAAGAAAAGCUAUUUAGUGAGGAAGGUUGGGUGGUGUCAACUAUGAUACGUAAAUUGGUGCCUGCAAAAGUUUCAACUUUUAUGUGGCAAUUGGAAAAGGACAGGGUGGCGUCAAAGGACAAUCUUUUGGUUAGAGGGAUUAGUCUCCCGGAUGAGGGGCUUUGUGGAGUGUGCUGUUCUGCCAUAGAGUCCUCAUCACAUCUUUUUCUUCAUUGUCCACAGAUUUGGGGUUUCUGGUGCAAAAUUCUUCAGAGGGAAGGGAUUCUAUGGGUAGUACCUCAAACGAUGACAGCUCUUUUGAGCAUAUGGACAGAAUUGAGGAUUGCUGCAGAUUGUGUGAUGUGGGAUAUGAUCCCUUACGCGUUAUGCUGGUCAAUUUGGCUGGAAAGGAAUGGGAUGAUAUUCAGUGACAAGGGGUUCAGUGCUGACUCAGUGUGGGAUAUGCAUUAUACUCGCAUUGCGUGGUGGGUUAAAUCCUGGUGGUGGAAGUGCCCGUACAAUGCUAUGCAAUUUGCAACAGGUUUUCAGCACAUUAUGCUUCCAAAGAAAAAUAAAGAUCGGAGAGAACAACAAUGGGAGCCACCGGAAGAGCCGAUUCUUAAAUUUAAUGUUGACGGCUCAGCAUUGGGGAGACCGGGAAAGAGUGGGGUGGGGGGUGUGUUGAGAAAUUGUCGUGGUGAAGCUAUUGGUUUCUUUGCCUUGGAGACGGGGAUCAUGUGGGCUUAUGAAGCGGAAGUCCAUGCUAUUUACCAUGCUCUGGUAUUCUGCAAGCAGUUCAAUUUCUCAUCAAUAAUUAUAGAGAGUGAUUGUAAGGUGGCGGUAGGGUGGGUACAAAAUGGAGGCAAAAGGCCCUGGCGAUUGCUUCCAUUGCUGGACAGAAUUGAUAUUAUGCUAUCUGAGGUGAAUUGCAAGGAAAUAAAACAUGUGCUGCGUGAGGCAAAUGACGUGGCAGAUUUUUUGGCUAAAAGUGGCCGGGAUGGGGUGGUCGUGCUUUGGCAGGCUUGUGAUUGAUUAAGGGGUGGGGUGAGUGGCUACUGAUGGCAUUGGAGUCAAUGUGGUCUGUCCUGUUUAAUCUGGUAUAUGGUAUUCUGCUAAGCUGAUAUGAUUUCUCAAGACUAGCAAGGUGCUGUUAUUAUGUGGACCAAUGUAGAUUGAUAGUGGAGAUGCUUCAGUAAUGGUACUUCUUUACAGGAUGGAAAUGUUAUGUAUUGGUUAACUUUCAUGUGUUCGUGUGGAUGGGGAUUGGUUUUUUCAUGCUGGGAAGUAGCUUAUUUUAAGGGUCUGUGUACUGGUUAUAUUUUAAGGGUCUGUGUACUGGUUAUAUUUUAAGGUGGUAUUUGGAGUUGGCUAUGUAAGUAGUAUAGUGUCUUGUGUACUCUUUUCCCUACCCGAGGUUUUUAUCCCACAAUGGGUUUUUCCUUAGGAGGUUUUAACGAGGCACAAACGCUAUUCGGGUUUUUGGGUGCUCUUGGUUGGUGUGUUCAAAUGCCUUUUUCAUGAGCGGAUUGUUCUCAUGUUUCAUUUGCUAUUAAUAAUAUUCAUCUUUUGUUGACAAAAAUAAAUAAAUGUUCUUCCCUGUGAGAUCUAUAUUUUCACAAUCAAAUUAAAAUGGUUUUUUAUAUCUACUCUUAAAAUUAUUUAGAAGUAUGGAAAAAGUACUAAAAUUUUAUUAGAACAUUUUCUAUUAGUUUCAAUUUAAAGUAUUUUCACGCAAAAUGUUCCUCAUGUAGGAGUUUUUUACUAUAUAAUUAAUAAGUAUAGACUAAAUAUGUUUAUUCUUCUCUAAUUCCACGUGGGAGCCAUAUAUUCACAAUCAAAUUAUAGUGUUUAUAUAUAUAUAUACUCCUAAAUUAAUUAAAAAUUUUGGGAAAAGGAAAAAAUUAAAUUAAACCAUAUUUUCUAUUAAUUCCAACUUCAAAGUAUUUUCAUGUAAAAAUUUCCUACGCGUAUGAGCUAUUUAAUAUGUAAUUUAAACAUAAAUAAAUAAAAGGUACAUAUAAUACAUUUAACUUUAAACUUAUGAAAAAAAACUAAAAUUAUAUCAAAGUGCAUUGUUUGUUAUUUUCAAAUUGAAAAUAUUUUAAUAUAAAUUUUCUUCCGCGUGGAAUCUCUACUUUCACAAUGAAACUAAAAUGGUUAUGUAUAUCCACUUUUGAAAUUAAUUAAAAGUUUGGAAAUAUUACUAAAAUUAUAUUCAAAUAUGUUCUAUUAUUUUCAACUUGACAGUAUUUUCAUGCAAAAUGUUCCUCAUGUAGGAGCUUUUUACUAUAUAAUGAAUAAAUAUAGAGUAAAUAUGUUUAUUUUUCUCUCAUUUCUCGUGAGAGCCCUACAAUCACAAUCAAAUUAUAAUGCUUAUGUAUAUCUACUCUUAAAUUAUUUAAAAAACGUAUGAAAAGUUACUAAAAUUAUAUUAAAACAUUUUAUAUUCUAAAAAACUUGAUAGUAUUUUCAUGCAAAAUGUUCUUCAUGUAUGAGCUUUUUAUUAUAUAAUUAAUAAAUAUAGACUAAAUAUGUUUAUUCUACUCUAAUUUCCCGUGAGAGUCCUAUAUUCACAAUCAAAUUAUAAUGCUUUUGUAUACCUACUCUUAAAUUAUUUUAAAAGGAAUGAAAAAUUACUAAAAUUAUAUUAAAAAAUUCUCUAUUAGUUUCAUCUUGAAAGUAUUUUCAUGCAAAUUGUUCCUCAUGUAGGAGUUUUUUACUAUAUAAUUAAUAAAUAUAUACUAAAUAUGUUUAUUCUUCUCUAAUUCCUUGUGGGAGCCCUAUAUUCACAAUCAAAUUAUAAUGCUUUUGUAAAUCUACUAUUAAGUUAUUUAAAAAGUUUGGGAAAAGUACUAAAAUUAAAUUAAAACAUAUUUUCUAUUAAUUUCAACUUGAAACUAUUUUCAUGUAAAAUGUUCAUCCUUGUAUGAGCUUUAAGUAGCUUACACAAAUAAAUAUAGACCAUAUUAUUUGUUAAUUUAUUCCACUCCCCCGUGUGAAAAAUUUUUAAUAUCAAAAUUUUAUAUUUUUAUAUAUAUUUACUUCUAAACUUCUUAAAAAAAAUUAUAAUAUUGAUAAAAAAAAAAUUGUUAUUUUAAUUCAGAAAUAUUUUAGUGUUAAUGUUCUUCUCCGUGAGAUCCCUAAUUUGACAAUCAGAUUGCAAUGCUUUUGUAUUUAAAAAGUAACAUUAAAAAAUAUUUUCUAUUUCUUUAUAUAUGAUUCGAAUAGAACUAUUUUCAAAGUAAUAUGGAAGUACCGAGUAACAACAUAAAUUAAUCUUCCUAAUAGGAGUUAAUUUAUCAAGAAAAAAAAUCUUUUAGUACCCGUGGAAGCUCUAAUUUUACCUUCUAAUUUAUGUUACUUUUAAUAUAUUUCCUUCUAAAACUAUUUUAAUUCUUUUGAAAAUAGUAAUGAAUAAUUAUAACAAUUCUUUACGAUAUAUAUAAUUUUUAUCCUAAAAACACUUUCUGAUAAAAUAAAUUUGUGGAAUCUCUCUUCAAUACUUUUCUCUAAUUUCUAUUUCCAGUUUUAGGUCUUAUUGUUACAUUUGAAUAUUAACUAUAAAAUUAUAUAUGAUUUGAAUAGAACAAUUUUCAAAGUAAUGUACGUGGAAGUACCAAGCAACAAUAUAAAGCAACAUCUGUGAAACUUGGAAGUACCAACCACCUCUAGCAUGAGAAAAAAGUAAGAGCCUUAACCUUGUCCCGAAAAGCCAUAUAAUUUUAAUUAACUUUUCAAUACAAACUAAGAAAAUAAAAUCUUGAUAAUCAAAUCUUAUGUCUAAUAUGCAUAUUUUGUCUUUAGUGUCAUGAAAUCUUCAAACUUCGAUGUGCUUAUCCCAAGACUUUCCUUCCAUAUUCUGUAAAAAAAUGUAGUGAGAAAUUAUAGCAUAGUCAAUCGCUCAAAAUGUAAAAAAUUUAAAAACUACAGGGGUUCAAAUAUGUUCUCAUCAGAAGCUAAUUCCAAUAAUUAAUGAUCAUAAUCAGGAAAGAAACCCACCAUAAUCAAGUUACAAACCAACCACUACGUACAUCACAAUGCUUAGUUAUGUCACGUUACUGACAGAGUAUGUCUCAUUCCUUUUUAGAUUCUAAUAAGCUUGUUGAUGCAUUCUUACCUUACACUUGAAUAUUUCUCAUAGACUUCUUUUGUGAAAUGAAAGUUAGGAAGUUGGAAUUAAACCACCAUAUAAAAGUUCAAAGUUUUCAAGAUGCUCCACAAUGAAUGGGUUUAACAGGUUAAUUCUUCCUAAUUUCAUCUGAACCAUCUUAAAAUUCUUAAUAGUUCCUGAACGAAACCAUAAGGAGCUAUUGUUAGUGAGAAAAUGGGCAAGAAUAAAAUUGAACAAAGAGAUAAUGUCAAUCUUCUUUUAGAGUGCAUCAAUCGUGAAGAGCUGUAGAAAUUUAGAAGAGUAACUAUGUUGGAUAAUGAAUGAGUGAGCAAACUAAUGAAAUACAAUACAUACACGCUCACAAACCUGUUCCUGAAGUUCUGAUUCUGCAUUAUUUAGCACCCUACAUCAUCAUUAGAUAAAGGAGAACAACAUAAUAGCUUUCAGAGUUUCAACAACCAUACUACAAACACAAUACAAACACACUCACAAACGAUUAAAAGGCGCAUGACAAAAUUUAAGAACUCACACAGGAGAGAAGCAGAGUUGUGAAAAUCAUGUGGCUGAACCAAUCCUCUUCAAUUCCUGUCAAGAAAAAUUAAAAAAAUGUCAAGAAAGAAAUAAAAUACUGAUGAACCCUAAUUUCCAUGAAGUGUGAAGGCUCAACUCGAUUUUGGUUCUCUUCAAGAACCAAGCAUGAAAUGGGCCGAGAUAUAGAAAAAGAAGAAGGUUGCUCACAAAAGGAGAAAAUGUAUAGCAGGGCAAACAAUUAUAAGAGAAAAAAACAAUGCAGAGAAGAAAAACUGAAAAAGUGAAGCAAUAGAGAAGAGAGAAGAGAACACAUACGUUUUUAUAAUCUCAGUUGAUUGAGUCAUCUGAUUUUAAAGCAUUCAAGUGAUUGGAUGAUAGUUGAGGUUGUUAUAAAUUAAGUAGGUAAAAAAAUGAAGUUUGAAAUUUUAAAUUAAUAAUAAUUGCAGGUUUAUGAAAGGUAUUGAGGAAGCUAUUGACUAUUGAGUGAGAAAGAGAUAAGAAACAACUUUCGGUCUUGGUAACCACCCAAAUAGUUUAAAUGUGCAUUUGAAUUAGAGAUAACUAUAAAUUGUUAAUAUGCAUUGUGAGUUACUAUAAGAACACGUGAUAUAAUAAAAGACAACAAUUAAAGAUACCAAUGAAAGCAAUUAGCAAUUUUAAUACGUUCAAAAAAAAUUAGCAAUUUUAAUUAGAGAUUUUAUGAUUGGUCAAAAAUAUAUCCCUAGAGUAAGUAUUAAAGAGCACUAACCAUGUUAUCUCUAAUUGGCUAUUUAUGUGGUGGAAAUAAUCAUAGUUAAACAGAUUUUUUAAAUUUUAUAAGCUGCAACAAACGUGAUUGGUUACUGAGUUUUUAGUGGGAAGAAAUUUUGAAUUGAUAAUUAAUGUUAGAUAUUUUAUAGAUUAAAAAAAUCAAAAAUAAAAUUAAUUAGAUGGCUUAUUACACACUUACCUCAAUAUUAAGUUGAUCAGGCUCAAUAUCUUGCGGAUGAAAACUCAGAAAAAUUCACUAGUAAGGCCAAUGAGUCUACCUCAUAAAGUUGUCACGUCUAAUCUAAGAUCAUCUCUAAAUCUAUCAAAUCUCUAACAACUCCUCAUUGGAAAAGAUACUACCUUACUCUUGGAACUCGUACAACAUCUCAUAAGAAUCCGUUUUCUAAACUCCUAUUCCUUCUACUGUUGCAUCUUAAUGAAACGGGGAUAGAUACAAUCAGAUCGAACGGUAAUUCUGUCACAUCUAGCUUUUACCACGUCACACAAGUUAAGUCUAUAACAGAAUGUGUAGCACCAUAAUCAAAUAGUACGAUAAGGGAAUUACCUGGGAUCUCGCGGGUACUACGCAUCAUACCAUUGUCUUCAUCAGCUCCAGCUCCACUGAUCGAGUAGACCCUUCCACUAGCAGUAGGCCUCCUAGCCCCAGCAACAUUCGCAGUAACCUCAACCUUAGGAACCUUGCAAUCCUUAGAAAAAUGUCCAACCUUGUUGCAGUUCCAGCAAACCGGCUCAGUACAGCGAUUGGCAAAAUGUCCCUUCUUGUUGCACUUGAAGCAAGUCACAUCCUCCAAACUUACUGAUAGAGGUCUCGGUGCAAAAGUAUUUUCGCCCGAGGGAUAAAAGGACCCAGAAGCUGCUCCCUCCCCCUGAGAACGGAGGUACGACUUCUUCUUAUAGUGCUUGCCCUGGUCAUAUCUUCCUUGGUUAGUCCUUGUCAGACCUCCACUUCCUUGGUUAGACUUGUUCAGACCUCAGUACUUGCCCCUUGCGUUAUCAAUGACCUCGAUUCCCUUGGUCUUCUCCACCAGCACUUGGUAGCGGUUCAGCCCUAGCGGUUGCACCGCCUUCUGUAGCUCAUAACUCAGCCCAUCGAUGAAGCGCUCACACAUAUAGCCUUCAUCUAUCUGUCCUCGAAAGUAGCGGAAAUGUUUCGCCAACGACUCCAACUUAGAAGCAUACUCAGCUACGGUCAUGCCUCCUUGACGGAGUCUCAGAAAUUGUGCUUCCUUAGCGGCUCUAGCACUAUUAGGAAAGUACUUGUCCAGGAAAGCUCCACGGAAACACUCCCAAGUGAUAGCUUGAUGGUCGGCUUCCAUCAUAGCUCUAGCCCCACGCCACCAGUACUCAGCUUCACCAGUCAGCAGAUAGGUCGCAUAAUCCACUUUCAUCUCAGCAGUCGUACGCAGAAAAGUGAAGAUCUUCUCCAACUCUUGGAGCCAAAGGUCAGGUUCUUCCGGAUCGAAGCCUCCAGAGAACUUCGGUGGAUCCUGAUGCUUGAAAUCAUUUAGACCCCUAGUCUGAGCAGCAGCCCACUCGCGUUCCUCACGCUGCACACGGCGAGCAUUCUCUUCCGCUUGGUUUUGUGCAGUCACAAUAGCAGCAGCAGCAGCACGUUGAGCUUCAGCUUCCUCCCUUGCGGCAAUGUUAGUAACUUGUGCCAUAAGGGCAGUCAGAUUAGCAAUAGCUUGCUCCAUCGGAUUCAUGUUGUCUGAACCUUGAGUUCCGUUCAGUUGUGGAAACCUCAUGUUCCUGUUUUCAUGAACAAUCAAAGACCACAACAGAUACUCAGACCAGAACAACACGAGGUUCUAUAAUAAUUAACUAUGUAUAUACUUAUAUCAAAUGUAUAAUUAACAAUAACUAGCAUAAGGUUAUUCACUUACGAACAACCUUCAUAAUAAUCUAUAUAAACAGUAAUCAAGCACACUCUUCCUCCGAUUAACACCCCAUCAAUCGGUCUUAGAGUUCAAACAUCUUAAGCAGACACUCUACCCAAAAGCUCUGGUUUUCUCAACCAAAGCUCUGAUACCACAAUUGUAACGCCCCAAUUUCUCAACUGAGGAGUCACAUUAGUAACCUAACAAAGUUUAAGGACUAUUCUGCAAUCCCUAAAAUCCAAGGGUAUUUUUUUUGAAAAUGAAAAGACUAAAUACCAUAGGGUUGGAAACGUUACAUAACUUUAUUUAAAUAACAUGUUUCCCGACAUAAUAGUAUACAUAACAUAGAGUAGUUCACGACACCAUAAAUGGGGUUCCAAAAUAAGUACGCUCACUUAGACAAGUGGCGAAAAUAAGGUUUAAACAAUAGAGUUUUCAGAUGGAGGAAGAAACUCAGACAUAGUCCCCCAAAAAGGGAGAAGCAACUGUUUCAUCCACCUUUACUCGACCGCCCACAAUCACGGUCUCCAACUCGAACAGCUAAGCUUAAGCGGAAGGCUCUCCAUCGCCUAAUAGCGUUAAGCGCCCAGACAACAAAUAACAAACAGAAAGGGUUAACUCCAUGCAAUUACCACAUAAUAAAGAGAAAAGCAUGUUAUUCAAAUGUAAUACAUGCCAUAGUAAGUAAGCUACCAAUUUAAUUCAGGUUAGAUGACAACUCAUCCUAACGAUCAUGAAAUCGAAUCAUAUAUUUAACAGAAUUAAACCUAUCAGCAUAUCAGCAAAAUCAACGAUAUGGUUUUAAAACAGAUACCUACAAAACCUAACAACAUAACCUAACUCAGAAAUCAAUAACUUAACAGCAUAGGUUAAUUCAGAUAACAAUAACUUCAACAACAUAACAUCAAAUCAGAUAUCAUCAAUCCUCAACAAUAUAACAACUAAUCAGAUAUCAAUGAUCCUCAACAAUAUAACGACAAAUCAGAUAUCAAUAAUCCUCAACAAUAUAAACACAAAUCAGCUAUCAAUAAUCCUCAACAAUAUCAAUCAAACAAUAACGUCUCGCAAGACGGGAUAGUCCUGUGAAAAUAUCCACUCCACUGUCACUAAGUAACGCCUCAAAAGACGGGAUAGUCAUGUGAAAAUAUCCACUCCACUACCACUUGAUAACGCCUCGAAGGACGGGAUAGUCAUGUGAAAAUAUCCACUCCACUACCACUUGAUAACGUCUCACAAGACGGGACAGUCAUGUGAAAACAUCCACUCCACUGCCACUUGAUAACGCCUCGAAGGACGGGAUAGUCAUGUGAAAAUAUCCACUCCAUUAUCACUUGAUAACGCCCCGAAAGACGGGACAGUCAUGUGAAAAUAUUCACUCCACUGCCACUUCAAGCAAACCAAAACAUCUCAUCCAACUCAGUAAUCACUCAAACAACAAUCUCAAGUUCAAUAAUCAAGACAGAGUAACCCUAUGUUACUCUUAAUAUCAACAAGCAUACGUCAACUCAUUUCCAUAUCAGCACAAACACAUCAAGCUCUAUUGAGAGAUGAAUCAAUUUAUUCAGUGUCGGAAAACAUAACCCUGUCAUAUCAACUAGAAAGCAGUAAUGACAGAAACCAGUAAACGGUCGAAGCCUCUCAGAAAACGGAGACGCACGUCUCAAUAAGUUUACUCGGCCGAAGCCUUUAUAAAACAUUUGGCACAAGCCUCAUAAACAAUCAACAUAAGCAAGCAUACAACAUUGAAAGCAUACCAACAUUUCAAUCAAUUGCCAAUCAAGUUUAAACAACUUCAUCUCAAACGCAUGCAGUGCGAUAAAAGCAUGCAAGACUCAAAAACGCUCUAAAACUGACUUACCCUUACCUUCGUGAGUAGAAGUUGUGCAUGGAAGUUGUGAACCUAGAACAAGGAAACACAAUCAUCAACACAAGCCUCACUAGAAACAACACUAUCUAAUAACACUAAUCGAAAUCGUAAAGAAAGCUUUUAAAGCUUCGGAGUUCCUAUUUAAGCACAAAUUGACAACGGAGACUUCGUUCGCUAAAACGAGCAUAACUCGAGCUACAGAACUCGGAAUGACACGAAACCGGAGCCAAAAUUUCGACAAUUGAAAGAGCUACGCAAUGGCUCAGGUCAUAGAGACCCAACAAUUAUUUUUGGACACGGUACCCUAACAAAUAGGUUUCGGCCACUUUCAAAAAUAGGGUUUCCGAACUUUUUCUUCGAUCUAAAUCAAUUCCUAGGUAUUCUUAGGCGAUAUCUAGGCCAGGGAAACUCUCAGAAAAAUUAUCGGGUCGAAAACUGUCACAGGGGUAUUUUGGUCAAUAUUUUUAGCUCGGAAACUCAAAAUCAGAAUUUCGAAAAACAAAUUAGAUGGGGUCGACACCAACGACGAUUAUGACGACUAAUCCUACUAACGCUAAGCUCAGUCGAGAGUUUUAAGCCCAAAGGACGAAACUUUAGCCAAAAAUGGGUAUUAUGAGCAGAAUUGAAGUUCGGCGGCAUUUCGGCGAGAUUCGGCGAAAUGUAAUCCGCUAAACAUGCUCAGGGGCACGCAGGGAAUAAGUUUAGACAGAGAAAUCAAGUUAUUUGGACAGUUUUACAAAAAGCUCAAAACUUUGAGCACAGAAAAACAAAGAGAAAAGCGACAGAAUUUACGAUCAGAGGUAAGGAAAAGCAUCAGUACCUCGAGGCCUACGCGUAGCAACAAACUGUGGGACGAUCAGGCAAGAAUCGGCGAAAAACUCUUCUUCUUCCUCCUCCUAUGGUGCUCGCGGGUUUGGGUUUAAAAUGGGGAAGGUUUUGUGAAAAUUUUUCAUUUUCUUGCUAUUUAUAAGUUUUGGAAAAUGCGGAAAAAAGAAAAUUUCGCGAUUCCGAUUUUUCCUGCGCAUUCCUCCGUGAAUUCUAAGAUAGGUUCUGGCAACAGAAUUCUAGAACUCAAAACAGGUUUCUUGGAAUUAAGGCAAACGAUCCAAAGUCGGUGUAAAUCGAUUUUACCCGAAAAACUACUUUUUGCAGUUGAUGUCGGAUGAGAAAACUUCGUUCUGAAGAAAGAUUAGAAACAUCGAGAGAAAUAGGUGUAAGCGUGUGGAAUCUUUGUUUGAAGCUCCAAAUAGAAAAAGUCUUCAUCGUCCAUUGAUUUUAGGUUUCUUGAACUAUCAGUGAUUCAGUUUCGGCAAACUUCCGAGUAUUGGAAUUUGACCUUCGUACAUUCCAGGGUUUCGUAUCGAGACGCUUGUUAUGGAAAGGAAUAAGAUAAAUUCUUAUAUUCCUCUUGAAGAUUUUUGGAAUUUAUUCCUAUAGUGUUCCAAGGGUUAAAUUAAUCUUUUCCUAAGGUUUUUGUCCUAGGCGUAAACGAAUAAUACUUGCGUCAUAAGUUGUAUCGACUAUAGUACUAUUCUUAGUCAUUUCCUGAACUUUCUUCUUCAUCAUAUUAAUCCACCCAUCAAACGAAAGUCAAGUUCCUCUCACGCUUACACAGAAUCCUAUGCGUGAGCUGGAAAUUAUUUAUUUAUUUAAUUCUAAAAUCGUGGGUCUUACAGUUUAAGUAUCAACCCCAGUACAAAAAAAAAAACAAAGUUCAAACCAAAAUUCAUAGACAAUACUUCUGUUAGCAAAUAAGUUUUACUCCAUCAAAACAUCUUUUUUCCAAACUAAGGGGAUGUAUUAUGGAAAUGGACCUCAACAUUCAUUUGAAGUUUAAUUUAACAAUUAUAAGCACCAAUAUUACAUCCAUUAAGCAAUGUAACAUGAAAAUACUUGGACAAUAGUGAAUAAAUCAAUAAGUAGGAGAAAGAAACAAUCUUCCUGCAAGCACAACAUUGCCAUACUCAUUUGGUCGGUCCUGCAGACGAAAUACAAUAAAAUCUCACAUUGACACCCUUUGGCGUUUACGUUGACUGUUAGGAUCAAAGUUCUCUCUCAAUGGAAUAUUCUCUAUCCAACCAUCUUCGCUGUAGGGAAACAUCAAAGGUUAUUGAAGAGACAUGAAAUGGGGAUGAGUCUCAUGAAGUCUUGUAAGACCACCACUGUGACUGUUAACAACGAUAUCUCUUCCAACCUCCAAAUUUGCAAAAUCUCCAUAUGUUUACGAACGGUAGCUUGAAUUCUGAACCCUAAGGAUUUAGAAAAAAAAAUAUAGCAAUCAGAAAGAUACAUAACAUAUCAAUUUCUUUAAAUUAAAAAUUUAUAAAAUCCGAGAGCAACAAACAAUUCAAUGAUUUACAUUUUAAAUUAGGAAAUCCGUAAAAAUCAAAUUAAAAGCUUAUCAAGAAUGAAAUAAUCAAGGAGAGGAUAUUGGUCAUACUACAUAUUGGUUCAUAUAUGAUAAACAACUAAAUUACGAAAACUAAACAUGAGGAUGACAAUCUUAUCAUAAACAUGAGCCAUUGUAAAAGGGAAAACUAAACAACUGAAAUAAGAAGAGGGGAUUCAGAAAUGGAUUCGUUUGAUUUAAGAUGUAAAGUUGUUGAGGUAUUUAUAGGAGAAAUAGAUAUGAUUGUACCCGAAAAUUGAUUUCCAAUAAUUAAAGAAGUAUUGGGAACAUUGAUAAAUAAUGAAUAUGAUGUAUUACUCCCAAGAUAAUUGUGGACGGCAGCUUACCCAAAAAUUCUUAAACUCUUGAUAUUUCAUUUUUUUAUUGGUC